AAAUAUCAUCCUCCCAUAGAAGUCAAUGUAGUAAAACCCAAUCCAGUUGAAGAGAAAGUUAUUGCUUAUAAUGAUUCUAUUGUUCCUAGUGUUUACAUUGAGAAACCACCUUUCCCUGUUAGAAUAAAGGAUCAUGCUAAAGCUUCAACUGUGAUACGUAAGGGCUACAUUAGAACACCUACACCCCGUGAGCAAAUUAAAGUUGAACCUAGUAUUGCUAUUAUUAAAGAUCUCUUGGCCGAUAAUGUUGAUGAGCAUGUUAUUCAAUUCUGUGAAGCUGCUGCUAGAAUUGCUAAACCUCAUGCUAGAGACAAACAUAAACCUGUUGUUGGCAUGCCUGUUGUUUCUGUUAAGAUAGGAGAUCAUUGUUAUCAUGGUUUAUGUGACAUGGGUUCUAGUAUUAGUGCAAUACCUCAAUCUUUAUAUAAUGAAAUUAAAGAUGAGAUUGCACCUGUCGAGAUGGAAUUUAUUGAUGUUACUAUUAAACUUGCUAAUAUAGAUACUAUCUGCCCUGUGGGAAUUGUUAGAGAUGUUGAAGUCUUGUGUGGUAAAACUAAGUAUCCUACUGAUUUUCUCGUUCUUGUACCACACAAGAUAGCUUUUGUCCCAUCAUAUUUGGUAGACCUUUCCUCAAUACUGUUAAUGCUCAUAUUGAUUGUGAGAAACAAACUGUUACUGAUGGCUUUGGAGGUGUGUCACAUGAAUUUAAUUUCUCUAAGUUUGGUAGACAACCUCAUGAAAAAGAAUUGUCAAGUAAGGAUGAAAUUAUUGCUCUUGCUUCUAUUGAUGUGCCUCCUACUGACCCUUUGGAGCAAUACCUGCUUGAACAUGAAAAUGAUAUGCAUAUGGAUGAAAGGAAUGAGCUAGAUAGAGUUACCUUUGAACAACGUCCUAUCCUUAAGAAUAAUCUGCCUGUUGAAUUACUUGGAGAUCCACCUGCACCAAAGGGUGAUCCUGUGUUUGAGCUUUAACAAUUACCUGAUACUCUUAAGUAUGCUUAUCUUGAUGCAAAAGAGAUACAUCCUGUUAUUAUUAGUGUUAAACUUUCAGAGCAUGAAGAAAAGAAAUUAUUGAAAACUCUGAGGAAGCACCGUGCUGCUAUUGGAUAUACUCUUGAUGAUCUUAAGGGCAUUAGUCCCACUCUGUGCCAGCAUAAAAUUAAAACUGAUCCUGAUUCCAAACCAGUUGCCGAUCUUCAACGGAGAUUAAAUCCUAAUAUGAAGGAGGUGGUAAGGAAAGAAAUACUAAAGCUCCUGGAAGCAGGUAUUAUUUAUCAUGUUGCUCAUAGUGAUUGGGUAAGUCCGAUGCAUUGUGUCCCUAAGAAGGGAGGUAUUACCGUUGUCCCUAAUGAUAAAGAUGAAUUGAUCCCACAAAGAAUUGUUACUAGCUAUAGGAUGGUAAUUGAUUUUAGGAAAUUAAAUAAAGCUACUAAGAAAGAUCAUUACCCUUUACCUUUUAUUGUGCAAAUGCUAGAAAGAUUGUCUAAACAUACACACUUUUGCUUUCUAGAUGGUUAUUCUGGUUUCUCCCAAAUACGUGUUGCACAAUCUGAUCAGGAGAAAACCACUUUUACUUGCCCUUUCAGUACCUUUGCUUAUAGACGUAUGCAUUUUGGUUUAUGUAAUGCACCUGCUACCUUUCAAAGAUGUAUGAUGGCUAUAUUCUCUGACUUUUGUGAAAAGAUUGCUGAGGUUUUCAUGGAUGAUUUCUCCGUUUACGGGUCUUCUUUUGAUGAUUGCUUGAGCAACCUUGAUCGAGUUUUGCAGAGAUGUAAAGAUACUAACCUUGUCUUGAAUUGGGAGAAGUGCCACUUUAUGGUUAAUGAAGGCAUUGUCUUAGGACAUAAAAUUUCUGAAAGAGGUAUUGAAGUCGAUAAGGCUAAAGUUGAUGCGAUCAAGAAAAUGCCAUGCCCUACAGACAUUAAAGGUAUAAGAAGUUUCCUUGGUCAUGUUGGUUUAUAUAGAAGGUUCAUUAAAGACUUCUCUAAGAUUUCUAGGCCUAUCACCAAUAUCUUGCAAAAAUAUAUUCCAUUUGUUUUUUAUGAUGAUUGUGAAGAAGCAUUUGAAAUACUUAAGAAGGCCUUGAUAACUGCACCUAUUGUUCAACCACCUGAUUGGAACCUACCUUUUGAAAUUAUGUGUGAUGCUAAUGAUUAUGUUCUUGGUGUUGUUCUAGGACAAAGAGUUGAUAAGAAAUUAAAUGGUAUUCAUUAUUCUAGUAAGACUCUAGACGGUGCCCAAAGAAACUAUGCUACUACUGAAAAAGAAUUUUUAGCAGUUGUGUUUGCAUGUGAUAAGUUCAGAUCUUAUAUUAUUGAUUCCAAAGUUACUAUUCACACUGAUGAUGCUGCUAUUAAAUAUCUCAUGGAAAAGAAAGAUGCUAAACCUAGACUUAUUAGAUGGGUUCUCUUGCUACAAGAAUUUGAUUUGCAUAUUGUUGAUAGCAAGGGUGCAGAGAACCCCGUAGCAGAUAACUUGUCUAGGUUAGAGAAUGUUCUUGAUGACCCACAACCUAUUGAUGAUAGCUUUCCUGAUGAACAACUGAAUCUCAUCAAUGCGUCAUGUAGUACACCAUGGUAUGCUGAUUAUGGUAAUUAUAUUGUUGCUAAAUAUAUACCACCUAGUUUCACAUACCAACAAAAGAAAAAGUUCUUUUAUGAUUUGAGACAUUACUUUUGGGAUGAUCCUCACCUUUAUAAAGAAGGAGUAGAUGGUGUUAUUAGACGUUGUGUACCUGAGCAUGAACAGGGACAGAUCCUACAGAAGUGUCACUCCAAGGCUUACGGAGGACACCAUGCGGGAGAUAGAACUGCACACAAGGUAUUGCAAUCCGGUUUUUAUUGGCCUACUCUCUUCAAGGAUGCUCGUAAGUUUGUCUUGUCUUGUGAUGAAUGUCAAAGAAUAGGUAAUAUCAGUAAACGUCAGGAAAUGCCUAUGAAUUAUUCACUUGUUAUUGAACCAUAUGAUGUUUGGGGUUUUGAUUAUAUGAGACCUUUUCCAAAGUCCAACGGGUACACUCAUAUUCUAGUUGCUCUUGAUUACGUUACUAAGUGGGUAGAAGCUAUCCCAACUAGUAGUGUUGAUCAUAACACCUCUAUUAUGAUGCUUAAAGAAGUUAUUUUUCCUAGAUUUGGAGUCCCUAGAUAUUUAAUGACUGAUGGUAGUUCACAUUUUAUUCAUGGUGCUUUCCGUAAAAUGCUUGCUAAGUAUGAUGUCAACCAUAGAAUUGCAUCUCCUUAUCAUCCUCAGUCUAGUGGUCAAGUAGAGUUAAGUAACAAAGAAAUUAAAUUAAUUUUGCAAAAGACUGUUAAUAGGUCUAGAAAGAAUUGGUCUAAGAAACUUGAUGAUGCACUGUGGGCUUAUAGAACUGCUUAUAAGAAUCCCAUGGGCAUGUCUCCAUGUAAAAUGGUUUAGGGUAAAGCAUGUCAUUUACCUCUUGAGCUAGAGCAUAAGGCUUAUUGGGCAAUCAAAGAGCUCAACUUUGAUUUCAAACUUUCUCGUGAGAAGAGGUUAUUUAUAUUAGCUCACUUGAUGAAUGGAGAACUCAGGCAUAUGAAAAUGCCAAGUUGUUUAAAGAAAAAGUUAAGAGGUGGCAUGAUAAAAGGAUACAAAAACGUGAAUUCAAUGUAGGUGAUUAUGUCUUGCUAUACAAUUCUCGUUUAAGAUUUUUUGCACGCAAACUUCUAAAUGGGAAGGUCCUUACAUUGUCGAAGAAGUGUAUCGUUCCGGUGCCAUCAAAAUCAACAACGCGGAAGGCACUUUUCCGAGAGUUGUGAAUGGGCAAAGAAUAAAGCAUUAUAUCUCACGUACUCCCAUAAAUGUAGAAAGCAAUAUAAUUAAUACCAUAACCCUGGAGGAGUACAUAAGGUAUGUUUACCAGCCUGUUUCAGACUCCGAAAAUGAAGAGGUAUGUGAUACGGUAAGUAAACCGACUCCAAAACUUUUCCAAUAGCAAUUUUUCUCCGUUUUGGAAUAUUUAGAAAAACAGAAAAAAUUAAAGUAGUCCGGAGAGCGCACGAGGAGGUGACAAGCUUGCCAGACGCGCCCCACCCCCCUGGGCGCGCCUGGGGUGCUCGUGAGCACCUCGUGUGUCUCCCGGACUCUGUUUUCUUGUGGAAUACUCCUUAUGGUCGGUAAAAAUUCAUUAUAUAAUCUCCCAAAAGGUCUGACCCUCGUAUCACGCAAAUAUCCUCUGUUUUCGUUUUGAGCUGUUGUGCACACAGAUCCAGACCGCUAUGGCGUCCCCAAAAGUACCGAAGGACAAGUUCUUCGAGAAGGUCAUCGAUCCCUACCUCGCAGAGGUGCUGCAACACCCUCAAUCUAUCGAGAUGCAUGAGGGGGUGCUCCACAUCCGUGAUGUUGAGGGUCCCAAGAGGACCAGAAGCAUAGAUGCGAGGCUCGAAGCAAUGGAGCAGCAAGUCUUCAAGUGCCAAGGGAUGGUGGAACGCGGACUCAACGCCAACCAUAUUUUGAUCACGGAGUUCACCAACAAUCACAAGAUCGAUGCCAAGGACAUCGGGGAGCACCUCUUCAAGCUCUAUGACAGAAUCGAUCAUCUCCGAGCCUAGAUCUACAACCUGCAGAACCAAAAUUGUGAGUAUGAGUAUAGAUUUAAAACAAUGCGGUUGGUUGCAGAUUUGAGGAUUCCGGAGACUCGAUCAUCUUUCCAUGAUGGAGAACCUAUGCCUUGGAAGAUGGAGAAUCAACCCCAGACUCCAACAACUCCACCACCAUCACCUCUGAAGGAAGACAAUUAAACACAUGGGUAUGGGCACUCCCCUUGGCUUGUGCCAAGCUUGGGGGAGUUGCCCCGGUAUCGUAUCACCAUCACAUCUUUUUCCUUUACUUUUAUCUUAGUUCGAUCCUUUUUGGUAAUAUCUUUAUCUAGUAGAAUAAAGUUCUUAGUAUGAUCUAAUCUUGAGUUUUGCUUUAUGUUACCCCCAAUGUAAUCAAGUUCGUGAGUUAUACAAUACAGAGUGUUUUAGUUAAGGGCCUUGCUUCAUGCCAUGAUCUAAAGAAAAGAAUAAUAAAAGAACAAAAGCAUGAAAGAUCAUGUGAUGAUCUUAUGGGAAGUGAUGGCUUCACAUAUAAAAAGAAUGUUGAUAGAAACUUGUUGUGGGUGGACAAACGUAGACCUUGGUCAUUGUUGCAAUUAAUAGGAAGUGAUAAAGAAAGAGAGGUUCACAUAUAAAUAUAUCAUUUUUGACACCGUCUUUGAUUAUGAACACUCAUUAAACUAUUACAUGCUAAGAAGUAGAUGUUGGACAAGGAAGACAACAUAAUGAAUUAUGGUUGCCUGGUUCCGAACAAUGUUAUAUGACUAGAGAUCCCUUAGCAUGUGACGCUUGCUUCCACCUCAUAUCAGCCAGAACUUCCGUACUAAGUAGAGAUACUGCUUGUGCAUCCACAAACCCUCAACCCUGUUUUGCCAUGAGAGUCCACCAUACCUACCUAUGGAUUGAAUAAGAUCCCUCAAGUAAGGUGUCAUCAGUGCAAGCAAUAAAAAUUGCUUCGUAAAUAUGUAUGAUCUAUUAGUGUGUGGAAAAUAAGCUUUGUACGAACCUGUGAUGAGGAAGGUAUAAAAGCGACAGACUGCAUAAUAAAGUUCUUUAUCACAGGAGGCAAUAUAAAGUGACGUUCCUUCACACUAAGAGAUCACAUAUCCAAACCUCAAAAGCACAUGACAACCUCUGCUUCCCUCUGCGAAGGGCCUAUCUUGUACCUUUAUUUUUUAUCUUUAAAAGAGUCAUGGUGAUCGCCACCAAUUCCUUAUUUUGCCAUUAUCUUGGCUAGCAUCAUGUACUAGGGAAAGAUCUAUAUUCAUAUAUCAACUUGGAAGUAAGUAAUCAUGAAUUAUUAUUGUUGACAUUAUCCUUGAGGUAAAUAGUUGGGAGGCGAAACUAUAAACCCCUAUCUUUCUCUGUGUCCAACUGAAACUUUGAUCUCAUGCGUACUGCAUGAGUUUUAGCAAUUGUAGAAGACUAAAAGAUGAUUGAGUAUGUGGGCUUGCUUUACAAGCUCUUAUUUGACUCUUUCCGAUGUUAUGAUAAAUUGCAAUUGCUUCAAUGACUAAAGACUAUUGGUUUUUAGUUCUCAAUAAGGUUCUUGAUCCAUACUUUACAUUGUGAAGGAAUUGUCACUUUAGCAUAAGAGAUUAUAUGAGGAGAUUGAGUGGGCAUAUUUAUUGAUCUCGGCUUCCGCUUGAGGACAAGCUAGGUCUAAGCUUGGGGGAGUUGAUACGUCCAUUUUGCAUCAUGCCUUUAUAUUGAUAUUUAUCGCAUUAUGGGCUCUUAUUACACAUUAUGGUACAAUAAUUAUGCCUUUUCUCUCUUAUUUUAUAAGGUUUACAUGAAAAGGGAGAAUGCCGGCAGCUAGAAUUCUGGGCUGAAAAAGGAGCAAGUUUGAGAUACCUAUUAUGCACAACUCCAAAAGCUAUGAAAAUCAGCGAGGGAUUAUUUUGGAAUAUAUAAAAAAUACUGGGCGGAAGAAAUACUGGAGGGGAGCCACCAGGAGGUCACGAGCCUGCCAGGCGCGUCCCACCCCCCUGAGCGCACCUGGGGGCUCGUGGGCCCUCUGUUACCCCUCCGGCUCCCAUCUUCUGCUAUAAGGAGGAUUUUGUCCCAGAAAAAAUCAAGGGAGAGAUUUCGGGAAGAAACGCCGCCGCCACGAGGCGGAACUUCAGCACAACCAAUCUAGAGCUCCGACAGGGCCGUCCUGCUGGGGAAACUUCCCUCCCGGAGGGGGAAAUCGUCGCCAUCGUCAUCACCAACACUCCUCUCAUCGGAGGGGACUCAUCUCCAUCAACAUAUUCAUCAGCACCAUCUCAUCUCCAAACCCUAGUUCAUCUCUUGUACCCCAAUCUCCGUCUCGCGACUCCGAUUGGUACUUGUAAGGUUGCUAGUAGUGUUAAUUACUCCUUGUAGUUGAUGCUAGUUGGUUUACUUGGUGGAAGAUCAUAUGUUCAGAUCCUUAAUGCUAUUCAGUACCUCUCUUAUCAUGACCAUAAUUAUGCUUUUUGAGUAGUUACGUUUGUUCCUGAGGACAUGGGAUAAGUCUUGCUAUAAGUAGUCAUGUGAAUUUGGUAUUCGUUCGAUAUUUUGAUGCGUUGUAUGUUGUCUUUCCUCUAGUGGUGUUUUGUGAACGUCGACUACAUGACACUUCACCAUUAUUUGGGCCUAGAGGAAGGCAUUUGGAAGUAAUAGGUAGAUGAUGGGUUGCUAGAGUGACAGAAGCUUAAACCCUAGUUUAUGCGUUGCUUCCCAAGGGGCUGAUUUGGAUCCACCAGUUUAAUGCUAUGGUUAGACGUUGUCUUAAUUCUUCUUUCGUAGUUGUGGAUGCUUGCGAGAGGGUUUAAUCAUAAGUGGUAUGUUUCUCCAAGUAAGGACAACACCCAAGAACCGGUCCACCCACAUAUCAAACUAUCAAAGUAGCGAACGCGAAUCAUAUGAACAUGAUGAAAACUAGCUUGACAGAAAUUCCCAUGCGUCCUCGGGAGCGCUUUACCUCAUAUAAGAGUUCGUCCAGGCUUGUCCCUUGCUCCAAAAGGGAUUGGGCCAUCUUGCUGCACCUUUGUUACUAUUCUUACUUGCUACCCGUUAGGAAUUAUCUUAUCACACAUCUAUCUGUUACCGAUAAUUUCAGUGCCUGCAGAGAAUACCUUGUUGAAAAGCACUUGUCAUUUCCUUCUGCUCCUCAUUGGGUUCGACACUCUUACUUAUCAAAAGGACUACGAUAGAUCCCCUACACAUGUGGGUCAUCAGAGCACUCAUGCAAUGGAUGAGCGCAAGCAAGAUAUGUUGGCACUUAUGAUGGCAAAGAGAAUAAUGAUGGGGGAGUUAGACAAAAAAAGGUGUGAAAGGAUCACAUCAAUGAGGACAAUCAUAGGCGAGAGAAAGCCAAAUGAUAGAUAUGAUGUGAGGAGUAGGGAUUGCCAUGCAACGGAUGCACAUAUGAGCUAAGGUAAGCUCUCCAAUGGAACUAGUAGGGGUGCGUUCAACUUGCUUGCUCAUGAAGACCUAGAGCUCAUUUGAGGAGGCUCAUCAUUGGAAUGUACAAGCCAAGUUCUAUAGUGUAAGGGUCCCCACAUAGUUAUACAUGAAUGAUAAUCUCUAUGGAGUACAAACAUAACAAUGGAGUACGAGUGUGGAUCUUUCAAAAGGAAUAGUGGUGUUUCCCCCUUCUCUCUCUCUCUUUUUUUAUUUUAUUUUAUUUUCUGUGGCCUCUUUGGCUCUUUCUAUUUAUCUCUCAUUUGUCCUCUUUGGGAUAUUUUCCUCACUUAAGGGCAACACCCUAUGUUUUACAAGAAUAAAAAGAAGAUCUUCACACUUUAUAAGAAGUACUCAACAUAAAGACAAAUGAAAACUAUCAUGAUGUAUGCAAAUGUAUGCCUCUGCCAGUGUAGCAGAAUAUGCAAUGAAACUAGCGCGUCACGUAGCAAUAAUAAGGGCAAGGACCAACUAGCAUGCGUCUCCUUUAUCAAGCAAAAGCAUGUAUGACAUGAAGAUCAAGUCAUGAGAUGGUGGAUGUUGCAUGGCAAUGUAUCUCAGAAAGGCUAUGGAAAUGCCUAAUAGGUAGGUAUGGUGGCUGUUUUGAGGAAAGAUAUAAUGAGGCUUAUGAUGAUAGAGCGUAUCAUGUCAAGGGUUUGGAUGCACGGAGGAAGUUUGCACCAACUCUCAAGAUGAGAAAGGGAAAUGCAUGGUACCGAAGAGGCUAGCAAAAUAUGGAUGGUGGAAGUGCCAACAAUCGAAUACUCGCAUUAGUCCGAAGAACUCAUGCACUUAUUAUCGGUAACUCUCUAUCUAGUCAGGAGGUUCACAAAGAGACAAGUACCCCGAGGAGGAGUGUUUGGGGGUUUGGUUUAUCCUUGCGCAUCAUCGACCCAUGGUAACGUGAGGGUACUCUAUAUAUUCCAACCCCUCCACAGGUUAGCGAUCCAUCUAGUAGCUAGAGUUCUCAACUUUUUUUUUUGAAAAUACACACGGAUUUCCCAAAAUAUGACACCUAUCACUAAUAGGCUCAAGCUCUUGACACCAAUAGUCCAAACAUUACUCAAAUCAAUACCUCAAAACUAUUGCAAGUUACCACUAUACUUAAAUAGCAACCUCAAUUACCUACUCAUGAAAGACACACAACUCAGUGCAACAAGCCAACUCUCUAAACAAGAUACGCAUGAUAACUCAAGAGAGUUCCAAAAGCAACCUAAAUAAAAGCUCUUAAAAAUAUAAAGCAUGAAAACUAAGAGCUAACCAUGACAACAGCUAUGAAAAGAUAAAGAACACACAAAAAAGAUAAGCAUAAAAACCUAUGUUGUGUUCUAGGGUGGAGUGUGUUUCUCUCCCAAACAAAGAAGGCUAGGUUCCAACUUGUUAUGAACAGCAAGCAAAACUAAACUAAAAAGUAAAGAGCGGGACGCUCCAAGCAUAGCACAUAACAUAUGAAGUGAUAAAAAUAUAGCAUGGAGAAUGACAAACUGAUGAUUGUUGAUGGAGAAGGGGAUGCAUGGGGCCAUCCCCAAGCUUAGACGCUUGAGUCUCCUUGAAUAUUUCUUGGGGUGCAUGGGGGCAUCCCCAAGCUUGAGCGCUUAACACUCCCGGAUCUUCUUUCAUCAUCUUCCAUCACAUACUUGAAAACUCCCUUCAUACGAAACUCAUCAUAAGCUGAUUAGAGUGGUUAGUGCCCAUAAUAAAAUAAUUUAUUCUCUACUGGAAAUAAAGAUUCUCAUGAAGAGAUACUGUUUCUCAAGAUUGCCGAAAGGUUUUUGCUAAGGAAAAGCAAGCUUAAGAUUUGCAAAACAAUGAAAACGCAAAACAGGGCAGAAUCUGGGAAAAACAGAACAUCAGGUAGUAAAUAUUUUUUUCGGGGCACUUCUGCAACUCAAAUCAAAAAACUCAAAACAGAUACCAUAACGAAAAUUAUAUAGAGCAUACUGUCAAAAUAAUUCAUAUACAAAAGAUGAUCUGGUGAUUUUUGGCAAAUUGUUCCGUCAAGCACACAGAAUCUGUUUCUGGACAGCAUGUCACUGCUUUUGAACUUUCUUGCAAUUGGAGGCUAAAACUUGGCACAAAGGUUGAACAUAAAGAUACAAUGAUGUUGCUAUAGUAGUAACAAGCAUCAAGAUCACUAAAACUGAAAGUAAAAACAAAUUGGGUUGCCUCCCAACAAGCGCUUUCUUUUAUGCCUUUGAGCUAGGCAUGAUGCAAAAAGAUCACGUAUUAUCAACUCCAUGAGAAUAACUUGCCCGAGUAACGGACUCAUAAGGUAACUUAAUAUUAUUUCGAGGGAAGUGUUCCAUUCCCUUUUUAAGGGAAAUUGGAAUCUAAUGGUCCCUUCUUUCAUGUGAAUGAUAGCACCAACGGUGCAGAGAAAAGGACGUCCCAAAAUAAUUGGACAUGAGGGAUCACACUCAAUGUCCAUAACAAGAAAAUCAACGGGAACAUAAUUCUCAUUGAAAGCAAUAAGAACAUCAUCAAUCCUCCCUAAAUAUUUAUUUAUGGAAGAAUCAACAAGACGAGCACCAAAAGAACAUUGGUCAAAAGGUUUCAAAUCAAGCAUAUCAUACAUUCUUUUGGGCAUAACGGAGGCACUAGCUCCAACAUCACAUAAAGCAAAGCAAGAGAAAUUAUUCAAUUUAAUCUUGACCAUAGGAUCCCAACCAUCUUCUAGUUUUCUAGGAAUAGAAGUCUCUAGCUUGAGCUUCUCCUCCCUAGCUUUGAUAAGAGCAUUGGUAAUAUGCUCGGUGAAGGCAAUAUUUAGUGUACUAGUGUGGGGGUCUUUAGCCAUUCUUUGCAAAAAAAGUGAUAACUUCCGAAAGACUACAGUUAUCAAAAUUAAUAUCAUUUCUAUUAAGUAAAAUUGUAGUGUCAUCCUAUAUAUUUGAUUUUCUCUCCGUUAUAAAAGUUUGGAUGUCUUCCCAAGCUUGGGGACGUUUAGGAGCAACUUCAAACCAAAUAUUCGGUUCCUUCCCGGGGAGACCAUGCCAAGGGCAUAAUUCUCAAUAAUAACUAACAUAGUCACAAGUUCUAUUACUUUUAUAAAUACCCAUAGUGGCAAUUUGAGCAAUAGAAGUGAAGGUAAAAUCAUUGUUGUUGUGACUAGUGAAGUCACACAACUUGGUGUUCUCAGUGGAACCCAUAGCAGCAGCAACAAGCAAGACCAAAGAAACUAUUUUUUUUUGGUUUUUGGUAUAAGACUAUAAAGCAAAAACUAGAAAGCAAACUAACAAGACUAAAAAGAAAAGGUAAAAGAUAGCGUGCAACUCCCCUAUAUUCAAGACUGGAGUCCCCGACAACGGCGCCAGAAAUUUGCUAGAUGACGAGUUGAUGGAUAUACUUCUCACCCCUCAUUGGUUACCCCAAGUGGAAGGUGGAGAUGUAGUCAGCAGUGGAUUUCCCUUACAUGGGGGCUGUAAGGUUUAUCGAACCAGGAGGACUCCAAGGAUCAACAAAUAGGUGCCCGCUGCUCUGGCGCUAGCAGAAGACGUGGACCUGCACACACAACAAAUAACUUUGCUCCCAACGAGUUCAGCGAGGUUGUCAAUCUCUCUGGGCUUGUAGUUUGCAAAGGAUCAAAACACAAGCAAGAAUAGUGAUAGUGAUUGCAACGGAAAAGGAAAUAAAAACAGGUAAUGAUGGAGGUGUAACAAUGGUGCUAAUAUGGACCAGAGUCCCGUGAUGUUCACUAGUGAUGUCUCUCUCCCAAAAGACGAUAAACAAAAAUGUUGGGUAAACAAAUUACAGCUGGGCAAUUGACAGAAUUAUAAACGCACCGCAAUGCUAAUCAUGCUACUAGAAAGUUAGAGGCUCAAAAGUAAUGGGAAGUACGCCAAGACAAGUAGACUGUUUAUCCAUCAGCAUCUACUCUCUAAUUAUCCACCUGGAGAUAUCUAUCAAGAACAUCUCGCUGGUAUUAAGUUGCGAGCCCAACCAAAGUGUAAACUCAAAGCAACGGACAACUGCAUUAACAAACUUUACGUAAGGUAAACAAUCCUUGCAACCGUGGUCACAAGCACCGUUGUUUUCUCCCUGGUGGCAACAGCACAUCCCCUAGUCUUAUGUUUCUGUCACUCAAGCUAGACAUCAGGGGGCAUGAACCCACAAUCAUGCAUAACGCUCCCUCUUGGAGUUACAAUCUACCACUCGGCCAAAGCAAUAAAAAUCAACAGAGAACAUGCAUGAAUUACUCAAGAACAUAAUAUAAAAGGAGAACCAAAUAUAUAACUCAUCACAAUCUGAACAUAAUCUCAUAAUCCAUCGGAUCCCAGCAAACAAAGCAUAGCAACAGCAGGAAAAUUACAUAGAUGCCUUGAUCAUGUAGGGCAGCUCACAAGGGCUAAGCAUUGAAGCACAAGAUUGGAGAGAUGACAUCACAUAGCUACUGGUCAUGGACUCAUGGUCCAAGGAGGACUACUCACGGCAUGUCCGGGAAGCAUCCAUGGUGGUGGAGAAGCUCCCGGAGGUCAAUCCUCCCUCCAACGGGGUGCCGGGAAGAGGUCUUCUUACGCUCCCAAUCUCAGAAGCGUUGUGGCAACGGAAUGAUGGAGAAAUUUGCGAUUCUGCAUAUUCUUAUAGGGUUUUCUAUCAGAGAGGUAAAUAUAGGCCGAAGGAGGGCACCAGAGGAGGUGGGACCCACCCAGGCGGCCUGGUGGCGCGGCCAGGAGGGGACCUGCGUAGGGAGGCCGCCUGGGCAAGCCCUGGCUCCCCGGUGGCACACCUUGGUGCCUCGUGAAGCUUCUGUCACGCUGAUUUUUAUAUAUUUUUCUCCGGAUUUUUUGGGCUCUCUAAAUUGGGGUAAAAGUCGCUGCAAAAAAGACAUCAGCAGACAGAAACUGGCACUGGGUGCACUGAGUUAGUAGGUUAGUCCAAAUAUGUGUAAAAAGGUAUGAAGUGUAGCAAAACAUAUAACAAUGUCACCCAAAAGAGCAUGGAACAAACAUAAAUUAUAGAUACGUUUGGGACGUAUCAAUGACCCUCUCCUUAAACACCUUAGCUACCCCCUUGAGCUUCCACCACUUCGUUCUAGCGACUUUGGGAUGCUUGUCCCGAUGGACACGAAUCGGAAAGCGGAAGUCAGCAAUGACAAGCUUAUACUGAGGGACAAUUCUCUCUCCAGGUAUCACCUUACAGUAUAGGUAUGCACGCCCGUCUUCUCUUCUUGAGAGGACGAAAUCAAUCUGGCUAGAGUGUUGCCCACUAUUGUAACUCACUAGAUGUGAUUCUCUCUUCUUAAAGAGGGUGUUAGCUAUGAUCAUGUUGUAGGCUAGCGCAAAGCUUAAGACGUCUUCUCCUUCUUCAUUCCUGAUGCCAUAGCUAAAUCCCCCAUGCACCCCUUCAAAACUUGUGUUAGAUGUGCCCACGUGGGCAUUUAGGUCUCCUACUAUGAAGAGAUUCUCGCCAAUCGGUACACUCCUAACCAUGUCCUCCAAGCCUUCCCAAAACUCCCUCUUGGUGUUCAUUCUGGCCUACUUGCGGGGCAUACGCGCUGAUAACAUUGAGAACUAAGUCCCCAACUACAAGCUUGAUGAGGAUAAUCCGGUCCCCACGUCUCUUGACGUCUACCACUCCAUACUUGAGGAUUUUGCUGAUCAAGAUGCCUACUCCAUUUCUGUAUGCAACUGUCCCCGUGUACCAAAGCUUGAAGCCGGUACCCUCCACCUCCUUCGCCUUUUGUCCCCUCCAUUUGGUCUCUUGGAAGCAAAGGAUAUCGACGCCUCUCCUCACCGUUGUAUCCACUACCUCCUAAAGCUUACCUUUCAGAGACCCUACAUUCCAGGUACCUAAGUGAAUCCUCCUAGCCUCGGCUAACUUCCUAACCCUUCGCACUCGUCGAAUCAAAUGCGAAGACCCUUGAUCAUUUUCCACUACAUCCGUGCGCCGAUGUACUGCGCCACUAAGGAUGCGAUGACCUGAUCCUUGCUCACUUACGACCGUAUCCAGAUCAUGAUACGGCGCGCCACCUAGGGGUGACGGCCCAGCCCUUUCCCAUUUUUCACCACACCCGGGUUUCGAUGUGGCGCAUCGCUGAGAGGGUUACACCCCAAUGAAAAUAUUUUGGGUUUCAGCUCCAUAAGAGUGGCUGAGUUUUGAUGUUGGCUCGACAAGCCUAUCACAACCCUCCUUCUUUACCCGGGCUUGGGACCGGCUAUGUUGAGACAACAUAGGUGGAGUUGAAAUAUAUCAUCAAUAAAAAAAUAAAAAAAACAUGAAGUUGAAAUCUCCACCAUGCUUACUAAUUGCUCUUUUAAGGAUGGAGUACCUAAAAACUAGGAGAUACAGGAAUACGAACUAUACCAUGUUCCAUCAAAAGAAACUAUGUGAAAACUGAUUUAUGUGAUCUAGGAGCUGGUGUUAGUGUUAUGCGUUUCUAUUUAGACAAAAGACUUCACUUGAAUAAGCUCACACCUACUGAAAUUUCAUUGUAAAUAGCUGACAAAUCAACUGCCAUACCUAUCGGUAUUUGUGAGUAUGUACUCAUUGUUGUUUAAAUAGCUGACAAAUGUUACUAUCUUGAUAGACUGUUAUACUUGAUAUGCCCGAGGAUGACAACAUGUCAAUUAUCCUUGGUAGAUCUUUCUUAAAUACUGCAGGGGCUGUUAUUGAUUGCAACAAAAUCAAACUCACUUUUCAUGCCAAUGGUAAAGAAUUUACGAUGCAUUUUCCAAGGAAACAAUUUCAAGUGAAUGGUGCUAAUGUUAUUGAAAAAUCUCCGACUAUCACCAAUGGAAGUUUCCAACUACCUCUACCUGCUACCAAAAAUAAAUAUGAGAUACUUAUUAUUGGGGAUACGCACAUCCCCAUUGAUGUAACGUAUUCUUUUACGAAAACUCUUCGGAUUCAUGCUAAUUGGAAGUGGUUGUUAAUAAGACUUGAUCAACCUUGUUAAUGAGUCAUUUUCAAAAGGAAUGAGGUCGAUGAAUUCAGUAGGCUCAACCUUCUCUACCCACUUUAUCCUUCCUGAUAUUUUUAGUUAAAAACAAUAAAUGUCAUGUUUAUCCAGUUUUCUAAUUUCUCCGUGCAAUAAAAAGUGCCCAAAAAUAAAAGUUCUCCAAAUGACCUCAAAUUUUCACACGAUUUUUUUGUGAAUAUUUGAGAAUAUGUGGCACUAAAAACACUGCACGGGGGUGUCCUAGUGGCAUCGAGGCACCAAUGUGCGUGUCGUGGUUUUGUCACNNNNNNNNNNNNNNNNNNNNNNNNNNNNNNNNNNNNNNNNNNNNNNNNNNNNNNNNNNNNNNNNNNNNNNNNNNNNNNNNNNNNNNNNNNNNNNNNNNNNNNNNNNNNNNNNNNNNNNNNNNNNNNNNNNNNNNNNNNNNNNNNNNNNNNNNNNNNNNNNNNNNNNNNNNNNNNNNNNNNNNNNNNNNNNNNNNNNNNNNNNNNNNNNNNNNNNNNNNNNNNNNNNNNNNNNNNNNNNNNNNNNNNNNNNNNNNNNNNNNNNNNNNNNNNNNNNNNNNNNNNNNNNNNNNNNNNNNNNNNNNNNNNNNNNNNNNNNNNNNNNNNNNNNNNNNNNNNNNNNNNNNNNNNNNNNNNNNNNNNNNNNNNNNNNNNNNNNNUCGUGAAAGGACUUAGUACUGGAGCCAUCGCACCUUGGUGGCGACUCAAAGGGGUUAAACGGGAGGAACACGGCGAUUUACCCAGGUUCGGCCCCUCGAGAGGAGGUAAUAGCCUACGUCCUGCUUUGUGUGUAUUGAUGUGGAUUCGAUUACAAGGGAAGCGUAACUCGCCUAACCUAGCACUCGAUGAUUUCUCACCUGCCUCUCCUCCUUAGGACUCGCCUUUAUAUAUAGGUCGAGGCCUUAGGGUUUACAAGAGUCCCUUCCUUCCUACAACUCGUGACCAUUGUGGUCUCUAAGUCGCCGUACUUCAAAACCCGGAAACCUUCCAGAAAUCAUAACUGUCCCGCGGCCUUGAACCGGCCAGGCCGAAGCCCGAAUAACCUAGAGGAUGAAUCGCCUCACUCGUAACCCGGCCCAUCUUGGGCGGGUCAUUUAAUAGGUAAUAUCCCCAACAUUAGGCCCCAGAUUGACUUGAACUUUCACGCCAAUGCUUCCGCUCAGUUGAAGGUGAUUCACUCCUUCAUCUUUCUCCAUGCGUCAGAAAUUGUAACCCGCCAUCCGGCACCGAAAAAAUCUCUGAGUCGCCAAACCAUUUCCUGUUAGCAUCUCCUUAUCCCUCGAUUCUCGGGAAGACUAACAUAAUCCCAAUGGAUCUUUAGUGCAUCGUUAUCCCAAAAUCUUCGGACGUCAUCAUGGCGAAUCUUUUUAUUCCCCAGCGGUUCCCGCUCACGGCGCCUCGAUUCCAGCGCCCGUCCUGAUAAAUAGACGGGGGGGGACAGGACUGGUGCUUCCCACCUACCAGUCUCAUCAAUCUCCCCCCAUUAUCACAGCAAAAGGCAUCAUCGUCUCCCGAGGGCUCCGCCGCCGGCCACACCUUCCGCCCUCGUCCGAGAAGCUUCAGCGCCGCCCAUAAGCCGUUGCCGUCGUCAAGCCUCGCACCGCGGACGAUCCGUCCGCCGCCAUUGACCACCGCAUCAUCAUCGACCACCUCGUUGCUCGCCUCGAACUCCGCCGCCGCCGAAGAUCUCUUCGUUCGUCGGGACCCCCGUGCUUCUUCAACGAUCUCCGUCACUGUCGGCCUUCUUCAAUCAAGAGCAUCAGGUUAGGCCUUCAUUCACCUUUUAGGAGUAGGUUCAUUCCUUGCUUGAGCUUUCGCCAUUGCCGUACCUUUGAAGCUUUUCGCUCAUAGUCGCUCAUCUUCCUCGAAUCGACUAGCACGAGCGCCGAUUGGGUAGCCAGUGCCCUGAAUACUUUUACUUUAUCCGAUGUACUCGCGAAUCUUUGGACACAAUGUCUUCACCAAACGAGGGGCGUCACUUGAUAAUAAAUUGUUCGUGCCCAGCUAUAUUCGUAGGUUUUCACAUCUGUUUGGUAAAUCCAUUCCUCAUUUACUGUUUUGCGAAAAGUCGUUUGUAGUCUUCACCCCCCUUAGUGCUUCAAAACGAAUAGAUUUUACCAUCCGCAGAAACGUAGCCUUUGGGAAUAACCCUACUUCCAUAAGUCGCCAUAGCAACCCAACCCGGCCUCUUGGUCUGUCGGAUUAAAUCUUUCUUUAAUCAAAGUACUCGGCGAGUUAAAUGAACCGAUUCCAUCCCAUAUAGUAGGUGUCCAAGACAUGUAAUAUCAUACUUUUACUUACUUGUAGCAUGGGCGCCGUCUUCAAGAGUGACUGGCUUCCUACCAAGGUUGAUGACGCUGUCUUAGCUAAUUAUGUGAAAGCGGGCUGUUUGGAUCCUCAAGAUGUCAUUGGAUGGCGCACCGGGUUGGGAGAAGAUCUCCCUAACCCCAAAGAAGGGGAAAUAGUAGUUUUUGUUGAACAUUUGGAACGGGGUUUUAAGCCGCCCGGAUCGAAAUUUCUUAGGGAUGCUUUGACCUUCAUGAACGUCCGACUCCAGGAUCUGGGACCCAAUUCCAUAAGAAAUUUGAGCCAGUUCCAAGUUCUUUGUGAAGCUUAUCUGCGGAUCGAGCCUUCUGUCCCUCUAUUUUGGCAUUUUUUUCAUCUGAAUCGCCAGACGGAAUUCCACAAUGGCCCCAGUUUGGAACUCGGCGGCGUCAACGUCCAGCGCCGUAGGGAUAGCCCGUUCCCUUCACUCAUCAUGCCUAGCCAUCCCAAGGGCUGGGGCGAGUCUUGGUUUUAUUGUCAAGAGACGUCUCCUGCUGGUGAGAACAAGAUUCUGGGUUGCAGGCCAACUCGCCUUCCGGUUAACUUCAAGCUCCCAGACAAGCUCACCGAGGAAGAAGAGUCGGAGUUCAUCCCAAUAUUAUAUGAGCUAAGAUCCCUGACGAACAAUGGUCUUACCGGGGUUGACCUAAUCCGCUGCUGGGUUGAAUGGCGGAUUCUUCCUCUGAGCCGCCGAGAUGGUCUGAUGUGUGAGUUUGAUGGCACUCUGGAUCAUCCUCAAUGCUACUUUCACACAGCUUUAACAGAAAAGGACAUUGUUGCCAUCAUCAAAAAGUUGACUGGCGAGCUUGCGGGAAAGUGCGGCCAAAUCGGCCUUAAGCCUUUUUGCAAGAUUAAUCCCGCGCCCAAGGUAACCAAAACUGACCCGCCCUCGGUAUUUAUCCCUUCUGUUUCAUUGCUAUCAUGGUUUCAUAAUAUAUACCUUUUCAGAAAGGCGAUAAGUUCUGGUCCAGGAGACCUAAAAAGCAAGCCAUGAAAACUGCUAAGCCGCCCUCUAAGAAAGCCAAAGGCAAAGGAAAAUCUGCUGCGGCUGAGCCAUCCGAAGUCGACGAAUCUCAAGUUGGCGAUGCGCUUUCAGAGGUACAAAUCCGUCCUCUUUUCACUCGCCACCUGUCACUUUUGACCUCUUAUUUAUAUCUUUCCCUUUCCCUGAAAUAGAAUGAGGAUAACGAAAGCCAGGAAGACUCUGUUGAGGUAAUUUCCGUUUCUUCCGAUUCAUCUCAUUCUCCACCUAAGCCGGCCAGGCGAAUUUGUGGAAAAGUUCCCCUUUCUCAUCCAAAUGCUUAUCUGGACCCGAAUUUCCUACUGAAGAAAGCACGGCACGCCUCAAAUCGGAAAACGCGAAGUCACUCUGGCGACCUGGUAUCCGGCCUACCAGCAACAAACAAAAGAAAAACAAGCGAGGUAUUCUUUAUGAAUGGCCAUUCUCCAUUUCUCUUUGGGUCACGCUUGUAACCCGCCUGUAUGAUUGACAUAUAACUCUUUUGCAGAAUUCCCCUCCUACCUCGGGCGACUCAGUGAUGUCAACACUUCCGCCAAUGAUCCGAGUUCCGGGGUAAGUCUUUUGAUAAUCUUGUCAUGACUUUUAAGAAUAAGGAACUUUCCAAUUCCUUAACAUACUUAUUCCCCUUUUUUCCAGGGCACAAGCCAAAAAGAGGAAAACCAGCGGACCAACUCCUGACGUAACUCCAGAUCUCAUGAGGGAAAAAACUCCAACUCCGGAUCAAGCUGAGCCCGCGACUCAAGUAGAUCUCCCUGAGUCGCCGAGAGAAGCAAUGGACGCCCCCAAGCCACCGAGCCCAUUGACAACAACGGAAGAUCCAGAUGUCGUGGUUAUUACCGGCUCUGGCUUUUCUAAACCGGCGGCGAACGUUUUAUCCAAGCAUAUGGCAUCCUCUUCCCACGGAAUUCCCGAGUCUGGACUUUCCAAAGAAAAGUUGUCAAAAUAUGCAAAUUUGGAUUUUAAGGAACUCUGCUCUGGCUUCGCAAGUCGCCUGGAGGCAAGCUAUGACUUGGAGAAGAACCUGCUGCAGAUGCUGAACAAAAAACAUGAGGUAAGUUUGUAAGCUUUUCUAUACUCCAUUACUCCCAUUAACCCCCAAGGGUCGGGUCAUCAGUAAAAAACGAUGAGCCGGGUCUUAAAUUUUUUUUUGAAAAACAUCUUGCGACCAGUAACCCCCAAGGGCCGGGUCAUCAGUAAAAAGAUGAGCCGGGUCUUGAUUUUUUGUAUAAUUUUAUCUCAAAAAAUUAUACAUUAGCCCCCAAGUGUCAGGGAUAUUGCUUUUGCAGUAAUUCUGAGACUUGCCCUUAUCUUAAAUUUUCAAAUAGGAAAAUCUUGCUCAGACCGAAUCAGUGUUGGGCGACUUACAGAAGAACUUAGCUGGACAACAAGACGCCCGAACUCAGUCGGAAGAGAAGUGUAAAUUGGCUCUGGCCGAACUGGUAAAACUCAAGGCCGAGUUAGAAAAAGCUCAAGCUGAUCAAAACGCCGCUUUGAAGAGAGCAGAGAAAGCUGAAGCUAAGCUGGUGACUAUUCAACAGGAGUUAUCCGGCUUAAAACGUCAUAUCUCUAACAUGACGCAAGCCAUCUUUGGUAAGCCUUACCUAAAUCUUCAACCUCAUCCCCCUUUUUUCACUCAAAUUUCUGAUGUUAAGUCACUAAUCAUCAUAUUUCAGGUCCAAGAGUCGCCAACCUGCAAGAAGACUGUGUGUUGAUGCUGAAGGCGAUUUAUACGCUGACGGAGCAGCUGUACACAGGCAGUGUGUUGACCGUCAAAGCUAUGAUGGGUGCCAAAGAGCCUAUUACUUCCAUCAAGAAGGUACUUGGAUGCUUGUCCACACUUCCCCCCCCAAAUUGGCGAGUUAACCCGGUCAGCCACCCGGAAAGGUGUUCUGACUGCCCCGAGUCGCUGCUUAGCGUAUGCCCCAGAGAUCAAUUUAGAAGAAGUAGCCGCUGGCUUCCCUCAGCUUAAGGACGAUGGAUCGGAAUUUGUGGAAGAGGAUUACCAAAAAGUCGUCAAGGAUUCUCGACUGGCUGCAACUCGACUCGCUGCAAGCCUUGAUUUAACGAAGUACCAAGCGGCUUAUGACAGUAGGAAUAAGAAAGUCAGCCCGCCAACCUUCAUGAUGACCAACCUAAUUCCUCGGCGACCCAAGAAUCCUUUCGACUGGGAAACAGACUUGGCAUCAAUUUUGACCGACGAAGACGACUUUGCUGCUUUGGCCAGGUGCAAUUGGGUAUUGGGCGAUUUACAAAUCGAAGUUGGUCAGAGCUCACGCCAGGAUUUAGCGAAGUAGACUUUCCUGAAUUUGGCCUGUGAGCCAUGUAAUAGUCAGUACUGUUUUUUGAUGAUAUCUUCUGCGAGAAAAAACCCUUAUAUCGCUUUUCAAGGCGAUUUGAAAUAUUUGGCCCGCCUUUAUAAGAGUCUUCUAUAAUGCUUAAUCCGCCAAGGAUGAAACAAAUCUUAGCACCCCCCUGUCUUAAACUUUGAAAACAUCAUCUGUGAAAACAAACAAACUAUGGAUAGUUUCAACAAGUAUGUAGAAAGGAAAAAGGUUUAAAACCUUCAAGAUUAAACCAUAAUAAAAGUAAUUUCGUCGGCUCAUACGGNUCGGCUCAUACGGUCGCGACAGGGGGAGGCGAGUNAGAAAGCUCGUGCACCCACCCUAAAUGUAUGUUCUGUCGGCUCAUAAGGUCGCAACAGGAUGACACAAUUUGCACUUUUUAAUGAAGAAGCCCCCAAGUCGGAGAGUGUUUUAUUACUUCAUAAUGAAACUGAAAAACUUACAAAACGUGGAGCUUUAAGAGCUCAAGUGUAGUAAGGCCGCAAAUGAGCAAUAUUCCAGGGGCGAGUUGACUCAGCCUCUGUAGUCGGUCGAUUAGGCCGAAGAUCCAUCAAAUAAUAAGAGCCAUUGCGGAGGUUCCUGCUGACGACGAACGGCCCUUCCCAAGGGGGUGAUAGCUUGUGCAUGCCUGCCCGAUCUUGUAUUAGACAAAGUACUAAGUCGCCCUCCUGAAAAGUCCGACUCUUAACCCGGCGACUAUGAUAACGCCGCAGAUCUUGCUGAUAGAUAGCCGAACGGGCCGCAGCCAGGUCACGCGCCUCUUCCAAGGCAUCCAAGGAAUCCUGACGCGCCAGCUCAUUAUCUUGCUCCACAUAUGCAGCGACUCUAAGAGAGUCAUGUCUUAUGUCAGUAGGGAGAACAGCCUCUGCUCCAUAGACCAAAAAGAAGGAGUGAACCCCGUGGAUCGAUUCGGGGUGGUCCGAAUACUCCACAAUACCGAAGGUAACUCUUCAACCCAACACCCUGGAGUCCUUUCCAGGGGAACCAUGAGUCGAGGUUUAAUCCCUCGCAAGACUUCCUGAUUCGCCCGCUCUGCUUGCCCGUUGGACUGCGGGUGAGCAACCGCAGAAACAUCAAGCCGGAUAUGUUCUCGAUGACAAAAAUCCAGCAUCGCUCCUUGGGACAAGUUAGUACCAUUGUCCGUGAUAAUACUGUGCGGAUAUCCAAAACGGAAAAUCAGCUUUUUUAGAAAUUUGACCGCUGUCUCUGCAUCGCAAGCUCCAACAGGUUCCGCCUCAACCCACUUGGUGAACUUAUCAACUGCCACCAAUAGGUGAGUUUUCUUGUUAGAGGACAUUUUAAAGGGACCGACCAUGUCCAGCCCCCAGACCGCGAAGGGCCAAGUAAUGGGAAUCAUCCUCAAUUCUUGAGCCGGCACAUGAGCCUGUCUCCCAUAACAUUGGCACCCCUCGCACCGCCGUACUAUGUCUUCCGCAUCUGCAUGAGCCGUCAGCCAAAAGAAACCAUGUCGAAAAGCCUUUGACACCAAAGAACGUGACCCGGCGUGAUGCCCGCAGUCUCCAGAAUGAAUGUCAUUUAGGAUCACGAAUCCUUCCUCGGAGGAAACACACCGCUGAAAGACCCCAGAAGCACUCCGUUUAUAUAACUCGCCAUUAAUGAUGACCAUGGAUUUGCUGUGUCGAACGAUCUGGCGAGCCAAAACUUCGUCGGUGGGUAAUUCGCCGCGAGUGAGAUAAGCCAGAUAAGGAAGAACCCAGUCCGGAGUGACAUGGAGAGCCGCCACGAGCUGAGACUCGGGAUCUGGUAUCGCCAACUCCUCCUCCGUGGGUAAAGCCACAGACGGUUUAUGCAAGAUAUCCAAAAAAACAUUAGGGGGGACCGGUUUUCUUUGUGAGCCGAGUCGCGAGAGAGCAUCAGCUGCUUCGUUGAGUCGCUGAUCAAUAUGGUCCACCUGAUAUCCAUGAAAAUAGCCCGCCACAUCAGACACAGCUCGUCUGUAAGCCGCCAUCAUAGGAUCCCGAGAGUCCCAGGUACCUGAAACCUGUUGCGCCACCAAAUCUGAAUCACCAAAACAUCUGACUCGUGUUAGGUUCAUCUCUUUUGCAAGUCGCAAACCGUGAAGCAGAGCUUCAUAUUCCGCCGCAUUAUUUGUGUAGGGAAACAUGAGUCGGAGAACAUAACAGAACUUAUCUCCUUGAGGGGAUAUCAGCACCACACCAGCCCCCGAGCCCUCCAACUGCCUGGAUCCAUCAAAGUAAAUAGUCCAAUAGGUAAGGUCAGGCCGAUCUUCCGGAGCCUGAAGUUCCGUCCAAUCGUUAACGAAAUCAACUAGUGCCUGUGAUUUGAUAGCUGUGCGGGGGUAUAUUGUAUGUGAUGAGACCCAAGCUCUAUCGCCCAUUUGGCGAUUCGCCCUGUUGCCUCCCGAUUUUGGAUGACGUCACCGAGGGGGGCGGAACUGACAACAGUAAUCGGGUGCUCCUGGAAAUAAUGUUUAAGCUUUCGACUCGCCAUAAACACCCCAUAGACCAGUUUCUUCCAAUGCAGGUAUCGCUGUUUGGAAAGAGUUAACACCUCACUGAUAAAAUAUACCGGACGUUGCACCGGGUAUUCCUUUCCUUCCUCCUUUCUUUCGACGACCACAGCCACGCUGACUGCCUUGGAAUUUGCCGCGAUAUACAGGAGCAUAGGCUCCUUUUCAGUUGGGGCUGCCAGGACUGGCGGGUUAACCAAUUGAUGUUUCAAGGCCUGGAGCGCCUCAUCUGCCUCAUCUGUCUAUACGAAUCGGUCGGAUUUCCUAAAAAAUUGAUAAAGAGGAAUCGCCUUUUCCCCAAGGCGGCUCACGAAACGACUUAGAGCCGCAAUGCGGCCCGCCAGUCGCUGAACUUGAUUAGCAUUCGCUGGUUUCCCGAGAGAGGUAACCGCUUCAAUUUUGUCCGGGUUAGCCUCGAUGCCGCGCUCCGAUACCAAGAAACCCAGUAAUUUUCCUGCAGGUACACCAAAAACGCACUUGGUAGGAUUUAGCUUCAUCUGAUAUACUCGUAAAUUAUCAAAGGUUUCCUUAAGGUCUUCCAAAAGUGUCUCCCCCUGGCGGGUCUUGAUCACAAUGUCGUCGACGUAAGCAUGGACGUUGCGGCCAAUUUGGUUAUGAAGACAAUUCUGGAUGCAGCGUUGAUAAGUCGCCCCUGCGCUCUUGAGUCCGAACGGCAUGGACACAUAGCAAAAGGCCCCGAAGGGGGUUAUGAAGGCCGUCUUCUCCUGAUCUUCCACGGCCAUCUUGAUCUGAUGAUAACCUGAAUAGGCGUCCAAAAAGCACAAUCGUUCGCAUCCCACCACCGAGUCAAUGAUUUGAUCGAUGCGGGGAAGAGCGAAAGGAUCUUUGGGGCAAGCUCUGUUGAGAUCCGUAUAGUCAAUACACAUACGGAAAGUGACAUUCUUCUUGAGUACCAACACCGGGUUAGCCAGCCAUUUGGGGUGAAAAACUUCCACGAUGAACCCGGCGGCUAAAAGACGGGCGACUUCUUCUCCAAUCACCUUGCGUCGCUCUUCGUUAAAUCUGCGAAGGUACUGUUGGACAGGUUUGCAUUUUGGGUCAACAUUAAGAUGGUGCUCAGCGAAUUCUCUCGGUACACCCGGCAUGUCAGAAGGCUUCCAUGCAAAGAUGUCCCGAUUCUCACGGAUGAAUGCGAUGAGCGCGCUUUCCUAUUUGGGAUCCAGACCCGUCCCAAUGGUGAACUGCUUAGAUGAAUCGCCAGGCACGAAAUCAAUUGUCUUAGUGUCAUCUGUCGGCUUGAAUUUAAGGGGCGACUCAGAAUCUGUGGUUGGCUUCUUGAGUGGCGACAUAUCCGCUGGGUCAACGUUAGCCCGAUGGUGCUUGAGUUCUUCUGCCGUGCAGGCGACUUCAGCAUACGCCGCGUCCCCUUCUUCGCACUCCUUUGCGAUCCUUCUGUCUCCCUCAACCGUGAUUGGCCCUUUAGGACCAGGCAUUUUGAGCUUGAGGUAGACGUAACACGGGCGGGCCAUGAAGCGAGCGUAAGCGGGUCGCCCGAACAGCGCAUGGUAGGGGCUUUUCAGUUUGACCACCUCAAAUGUCAGAGACUCUGACCUAUAGUUCUGUGCAGUUCCAAAUGCCACUGUGAGCCUGACUCGGCCUAUGGGAUAAGCCGACUUACCCGAGACAAUUCCAUGGAAGACCGUGGUUGAAGGCAUCAAGUCUUUCUCCAAUAGAUUCAUCCUCUGGAAGGUGUCGAAGUACAGGAUAUUGAUGCUGCUGCCACCAUCCAUUAACACUUUUGACAAGGUGUAGCCUCCGACUUGGGGGGCCACGACCAACGCCAAGUCGCCCGGAUUAUCUACUCUUGGCGGGUGAUCCUCCCUGCUCCAUGUUAUGCUCUGCUCAGACCAAUGGAGAUAUCUGGGGAUCGCCGGAUCAGAGAUGUUGUACGCCCGGUGAUUUAUCUUCUUAUCCCGUCUGCAAGCAUUAGUAGUAAAAACGUGGUACUGCCCAUUACUUAGCUGUUUGGGGUUGUUGCAGAAGCCCUCAUUAUCAUCCUGGUCGUGUGGAGCCCCCUGUGGAGGUGGUUGGUGGAAAGCUCCUGGCGGGUUGUACCGCCGCUGGUGAUGCACUGGGUACUGACCGCCUCCCGGCUGUGGUCCGCCCUGCGCACCCGGCUCGGGAAAACCACCAAAGGGGUUCUGUCUUUGGUUGGGUGCGGCGAGUUGGUCUUGGCGCCGGUCUGGACCUUCGUUUUGACUCUUCUUGAUCGCCUCAGCACGAAACUCUCGCAUUACGAAGCAGUUCUCCCAAGAGUGGCCCGCCGGGCUGUCGGCCGUGGCGUGGUGCGGGCAAGGGCCUUUGAGUAGCUCUUCAUAGUUACGCGGCCUUUUCCCACUGAAACCUCGAUUCUUCUUUUUGCCGUCAUUGGCAUUGGUGUUAGCAACCAAGUCCGAGGGCUCCUCCUAUGGUCUACGCUUGCCGUUGGUCCCCUGAUUGUGACGGUUGCGGCCCUGGAAACGGGUGUGAUUUUUUGUGGAAUCGCCCUUUUUAGGCGAGUUACCCUUACCAUCCUCACCGGGAUCCUUGGUAUCAUCGGCCUUGGCAUACCUAGUGAGGGUGUCCAUCAGUUCGCCCAUGUCCUGAACUUUCCGUUUGAGUCGCCCCAAUUUCUGGACCAAGGGUUCGUAGUGGCAAUUGUGUUCGAGGAUAAGCACAGCUUGUGCUGCCGUGAUACCAUCUGACGAAUGAAUAAUUUCUGCGACCCACCGUGACCAAUGGUGUGCCGACUCAUCCGGGCGUUGUACGCAGUGUUGUAAGUCGACGAUCGUCAUCGGUCGUUUACAGGUUCCCCGGAAGUUUUUGAUGAAACGCUCUUUCAGCUCGGCCCAGGACUGGAUAGAAUUGGGAGGUAAGUUUUUCAGCCAAGUGCGCGCCGACCCCUCGAGCAUCAUGGUGAAAUAUCUGGCGCAAACCGCCUCAUUUACGUCGAGCAUGUCCAUGGCAAUCUCAUAACCCUCGAUCCAUGAUGUUGGUUCGAGAUCUGGUGUAUAAUUAGGCACCUUUCUUGGCCCUUUAAAAUCCUUGGGCAUUCUCUCGUUCCGAAGGGCUAGGGACAAGCACGGUACCCCAACUCGCCCUCCGCUCCCUACGAGGGGGGCCUGGGCGUCUUGAAUGUUGGGGAGAUCUCUGCCCGGCAGGUUCCGCUCAGGCGGGUUGUCCUGCGGGAAGUGUCGCGGGCCACUGUUUACGGCUGGCUGAUCCUCCGGCCUACUCCUGGUAUAGCUCACCUGAGGGGUGGAGUGCAAUCUCUCGAGGCUGUGUGAGAACUGAGCGUUUUGAACCACCGCUGUCUUCAACAUCUCGAUGGCAUUCCGUGCUUCUAUCUCAGCUGGGGUGUUGCCGUGAAUCGGGAGAGACUCCAGGUGGCGAGUUGCGGCAAACACAUUAUCCACCGGAUUGGAGAAGUGGCCUUGGGGCGUCCGGAAACGGGGAAUUUGGCCCUCGGUCGGAUGAUCCGGCGGAUUAGGUGGGCGACCCUGUCCUCCUGCUGGAGCGGCUCCUACCCCGGGGGUUCGUGGAGUGUCGAACAGACGGGUCGGAUUGAGGUCGUGAGGCAGGCGCCCCUGGUGUCUCCUCUGAUGGACGGCAUCGGACGCGCGCUGCUGUCUUUCGAGUCGCCAAUUGUCGGUGUUUAAACGCAUCCUUUCGGCCGUAAUUUGGGCUUGCCGAGUCUCGAUUCUGGCGGACUCCACCUCAGCAUCCCGGUGGGGUUUAGCCACCGCCUCUCUGAGCUUUGCUAACUCUGCGUUUAUCUCUUCUUGGUUCUCCGACGUGAGGGGAGUCGCCGUUAGUCUUGCGAUCUCUGCUGCUAAAUCCGCCAGGACUGCGGCUGGGCUUCUGGACGCUUCGCCAGUCCCAGCACCUCCAGUGGGGUUUUGUGUCGGUUGAGUCGCUCCGGCCAUGUAGAUGGCGAUCUGGCGGCGGGUUCGGUCAAGUACCUCCGGAUCCAUGGCCAGUGAUAAACCUCCGAGGCCGUCCCCAUGGAGGGACCGGAUAAAAUCUGAGUCGCCCAUGGAUGAUUCGUCGUCCGAGUUGAUCGGGGUAAUCUCCUGACUCGCCGGGUGCUCUGGCUCCUCCGAUCCCUGCAUGAACCCCACAAAGACCGGGCGAGUUAAGUUUCGUGUUAUAACUGGGCGGACGUACCUGGCCGGCUCAACGAUGUCGGUGGAGAUGUCCGGCUCAGGGACGGGUGACCCGAUCAUGCCGACGAAGACGUUGAUCCCGCCGAAGGGGACCCUGUAGCCAGAUUCGAUCGAAUUCGCUUCAGGUCCCCAUAGCUGGUUGUCGAUGUAGAUUAUCCCGCGGCGGCUCCGGGACAUGAGCGUCGUCGCGUAACUCCCAAACCCUGGUAGGGCUCCCUUUGAGAACUCAACUCCACCGUGCGUAGGCCCCACGGUGGGCGCCAACUGUCGUGGUUUUGUCACGGCAGAUGUCCUCGUGAAAGGACUUAGUNCUUCCUACAACUCGUGACUAUUGUGGUCUCUAAGUCGCCGUCCUUCAAAACCCGGAAACCUUCCAGAAAUCAUAACCGUCCCGCGGCCUUGAACCGGCCAGGCCGAAGCCCGAAUAACCUAGAGGAUGAAUCGCCUCACCGGUAACCCGGCCCAUCUUGGGCGGGUCAUUUAAUAGGUAAUAUCCCCAACAGUGCGCCACCCUAGCUAGUCGCUUCUCAACCUAUUUGCUAGCCUUCGCGUGUACUAAGUGGGAAUACUGCUUGUGCAUCAAAAUCGGUGAAACAAAGUUAUUCUAGAUGAGUCCACUAUACCUACCUAUAUACGGUAUUACCCUCUCGUUCCAAGUAAAUUUGCAUGUGCCACCUCUAAUAUUUCAAAUGAACUUCUGUUUUAUGUGCAUGUACCGCUCAUGGAGCUACAAGGGGCGGUUAGUAUCUUCCAUGCUAAGCGGGUUAUUCUCAUGAUGGGUGUUUAUUCACUCGUCUUUGCAUGAGAGGGGCUGGUAAAAGGGACUCCCAAUCCCGAAAUCAUAAAUCACAAAUAAUUAAACAAAACUCCCCCUAGAUUGUUGUUGGUAUGGACGACACCCGUGGAUUCGGCUAGCCAUGGAGUGUGUUUGUUGGUGGAUGGGGAGUAAACCUUUACUUUUACCGCUUGGUAACCGCCGCUAAUUUGUUUAGCAUGGAAUAUACUGAUAACUAUUGGUUGUAAUGUUGACAGGAAGGGUGUACCUCCCAAGAUAAUUUAUCUCUAACUUUCACUUUGAGCUCUCGCACCACUGCAAAUCCCUGCUUCCCUCUACAAAGGGACUUAGUAUUUACUUUCAUGUUAUUUUAUUUUUACUUUGAGUCAUCACCUUCUCAAAUAAGUACCACACCUGAGAGCAUUGAUGUCAUCCUCAUGCUUUGUGUCUAGUUAGAUGUUUUUUGCAGCAUGCUGGAUCUCUUCUACCAUGAAUUACAAUGUCUAGUCACUACUUGAACUUUGGAGGUGUUGUGCAUUUAUGUUUUAUGGUCUCAUAAAGGGCUAGCGAGAUACCAUUGUUGUCAUAUUAUAUCAUGAUUAUUUUGACCAAGUGUUGGCGUUUGAGUUAUCUUAUUAAUUGCUCGCUAGUUGAUUACGACAUUGAUAUGAGCUAAUAUAGUUUCUAAGGGUUAUUGUCGAUAUGAUUACUCAUGAUUUAUGCUACAAACCUGGGUGCUCUCUAAUCAUGUACAUGUAAACAAAAACAAAAGAGUUCAUAAAAGUUUUUCUUUUUCACUUUCGGUUUGUCAACUCAAUUGCUUGAGGACAAGCAAUGGGUUAAGCUUGGGGGAGUUGAUACGUCUCCAUCGUAUCUACUUUUCCUAACGCUUUUGCUCUUGUUUUGGACUCUAAUUUGCAUGAUUUGAAUGAAACUAACCCGGACUAACGAUGUUUUCAGCACAACUACCAUGGUGUUGUUUUUGUGCAGAAAUAAAAAUUCUCGCAAUGGAACAAAACUUUUUGGAGAUUUUUUAUGAAAUAAAUGAAAAAACUGGAACCAAGACCCAUCGAAGUGAAGCCCCAUACGCCCACUAGGCACCACGGCGCGCUAGCCCCCCUGGUGCGGCCUGGUGGCUAGUGGGGCCCACGGGGCUCCGCUGAACCUAAUUCCAGCGCUAUAAAAUCCUAUUUUCAAAAAAAGUCAGAGAGGAAGUUUCAUCACAUUUCACGAUAUGGAUCCACCGUCGCCUCAUGUUCUUCAUUGCAUGGCGAAAUGUGCAGUUCAUUUGGCGCUCUGGACAGGGGAAUCUUCGGUCUUUGUCAUCACCAACCCUCUUCAUCGCCAAUUCCAUGAUGCUCUCCAUCGGGAGUGAGUAAUCCCUUCGAAGGCUUGCUGGUCGGUGAAGAGCUGGAUGAGAUUCAUCAUGUAAUUGAGUUAGUUUUGUUAGGGCUUGAUCCCUAGUAUCCACUAUGUUCGAAGAUUGAUGUUGAUAUGACUUUGCCAUGCUCAAUGCUUGUCAGUAGGGCCGGAGUGCCAUGAUUUUAGAUCUCGAUAGUUUAUGUUUUCACCAUUAUAUCUAUGUGCUUGAUUCGAUGUUGCAAGUUAUAUGCACCUACUACGUGUUGGGAUCCGCAUACCCCAAAGUGACAACAAUUGGGAUUCUUUCCGGUGAUUACCGUAGUAUGAGGAGUUCAUGUAUUCACUAUGUGUUAAUGCUUUGUUCCGUUCUCUAUUAAAAGGAGGCCUUAAUAUCUCUUAGUUUUCUUAUGGACCCCGCUGCCACGGGAGGAUAGGACAAAAGAUGUCAUGCAAGUUCUUUUCCCUAACCACGUAUGACUAUUUAUGUAAUACAUGCCUACGAUAUAUCGAUGAUGGGGAGCUAGUUCUGUGUCGCCCUAUGUUAUGAAUGAUAGAUGAUAAACAUUAUCCAGCAAUAUCACUGAUCUAGUGCCUAUGAGUUGUCCACAUAUUAUUCUUGCUAAGUUACUACUAUUGCUACUGUUGUUACAACUGCUACAAAACUGUUAUCACUGUUACCGUUACUGUUGCUACUAUUACCACUGCUAACAAAACUAUCAUAUUACUGUGCUACUGAUCAUUGUCCUACAGGUACUAAAUCUCCAAGUGUGGUUGAAUUGACAACUCAGCUGCUAAUACCUGCAAAUAUUCUUUGGCACCAGAACCAUAUGAAUUGUAGCUAACUUGGCAUGAAUACUUCAUAAAUUAUAGAUAAGUUGGACACGUAUCUCACGCACACUCGCUUCUCGCCCCAAUUUUUAUUGUUGAUAUGACAUGAUAGAAUUUUCAUCCUUAAUGUGCAUUGCUUCUCCCACUUGGCAUGAAAAUUGUCUUCCUACUCCGUCCAUGUCCUCUCCACCAAGCCCAUAAAGCAAGAGAGGGGUACAAAGUACAUACCCUCUAUUUUUGCAAAUCAUAACCAUCGUAAGGUGGCCAAAACAACACCUAUAUUUGGAGACCCUGCUUCUCGAUGUGGACUUCAUGAAAGAUGAAGAGGAAAUAUUUGUUGGGUAUCGUAGUAAAUUCAAAAAAAAUCCUACACCAUACAAGGAUCUAUCUAUGGAGAAACCAGCAACGAGAGAGGUUGUAGAGCAUCUUCAUACCUUUGAAGAUCGCUAAGCGGAAGCGUUACUGUGAACGCGGUUGAUGGAGUCAUACUCGCACCAAUUCAGAUCGCGGUGGAUUCCGAUCUAUGUGCCGAACUACGGCACCUCCGCGUUCGACACACAUAAAGCCCGGUGAUGUCUCCCACGCCUUGAUCUAGCAAGGAGGUGGGAGAGGUUGAGGGAGAUCUCAGGCAGCACGACGGCGUGGUGGCGGUGGAGCUACGAGGUUCUCCGGCAGAGCUUCGCCAAACUAUGCGGAGGACGAGGAGAGAGGUGUAGGGCUGCGCCAGGAGAGGAAGAAAUUGUGCCUCCAAAGGACAAAAACCACCACUAUAUAUAGGGGUAGAGGGAGGAGGUGCCAACCCUUAGGGUUCCCACCCCUAAGGGGUGCAACAGCCCCAUCUGGGGCAAAGGGCGGCAGCCAGGGCAGGGAGAGGAGGGGUGGCGCACCCAGAUGGGCCUUGGGCCCCUCCUGCGCCUAGGAUUUGCCCCCCCCCUUCCUCCCUUCCUGCGCCUUAGGCCUAGGUGGGAGGCGCACCAGCCCACUCUGGGCUGGUUACCUUCCACCUUUUGGCCCAUGCUAGCCUUUUGGGCUGGUGGCCCCUCCCGGUGGACCCCCGGAACCCUUCUGGUGGUCCCGGUACGUUACGGGUGACGCCCGAAAAAUUUUCGGUGUCCAAAACCUCUCAUCAUGUAUAUCAAUAUUUACCGCCGGACCAUUCUGGAGCUCCUCAUGAUGUCCGGGAUCUCAUCCGGGACUCCGAACAACCUUCGGUAACCACGUACAUUAUUUCCCUAUAACCCUGGCGUCAUCGAACCUUAAGUGUGUAGACCCUACGGGUUCAGGAGACAUGCAGACAUGACCGAGACAUCUCUUCGGACAAUAACCAACAGCGGGGUCUGGAUAUCCAUGUUGGUUCCCACAUGUUCCACGAUGAUCUCAUCGGAUGAACCACGAUGUCAAGGAUUAAAUCAAUCCCGUAUGCAAUUCCCUUUGUUUAUCGGUAUGAUACUUGCCCGAGAUUCGAUCGUCGGUAUCCCUAUACCUUGUUCAAUCUCGUUACCAGCAAGUAUCUUUACUCGUUCCGUAACACACCAUCCCGUGGCUAACCCCUUAGUCACAUUGGGCUCAAUAUGAUGAUGGAUUACCGAGUGGGCCCAGAGAUACCUCUCGGUCACACGGAGUGACAAAUCCCGGUCUCGAUUCGUACAACUCAAAAGACACUUUCGGAGAUACCCGUAGUGCACCUUUAUAAUCACCCAGUUACGUUGUGACGUUUGGUACACCCAAAGCACUCCUACGGUAUCCGGGAGUUGCACAAUCUCACGGUCUAAGGAAAUUAUACUUGACAUUAGAAAAGCUUUAGCAGACGAACAACACGAUCUAGUUCUAUGCUUAGGGUUGGGUCUUGUCCAUCACAUCAUUCCCCAAUGAUGUGAUCCUGUUAUCAAUGACAUCCAAUGUCCAUGAUCAAGAAACCAUGAUCAUCUAUUGAUCAACGAGCUAGCAAACUAGGGCUCACUAGGGACACAUUGUGACCUAUAUAUCCACACAUGUAUUACAGUUUCUGGUUAAUACAAUUAUAGCAUGAAUAAUAGACAAUUAUCAUGAACUGGAAAUAUAAUAAUAACUACUUUAUUAUUGCCUCUAGGGCAUAUUUCCUACUGUCUCCCACUUGCACUAGAGUCAAUAAUCUAGUUACAUUGUGAUGAAUCGAACACCCAUAGAGUUCUACUGAUGAUCAUGAUUUCCCCAUGGAAGAGGUUUAGUCAACGGGUCUGCGACAUUUAGAUCCGUAUGUACUUUACAAAUAUAUAUAUCUCCAUCCUUGAUGUAUCCACGGAUGGGCUUGAAGCGGCGCUUGAUGUGCUUGGUCUUCUAGUGAAACCUGGGCUCCUUUGCAAUAGCAAUAGCUCCAGUGUUGUCAUAGAACGGAGUCAUCGGGCCCGACGCACUUGGAAUCACUCCUAGGUUGGUGAUGAACUCCUUCAUCCAGACUCCUUCAUGUGCUGCUUCCGAAGCAUCUAUGUACUCCGCUUCACAUGUAGAUGUCGCCACGACGCUUUGCUUGCAACUGCACCAGCUUACUGCCCCAUUAUUCAAAAUGUACACGUAUCCGGUUUGUGACUUGGAGUCAUCCGGAUCUGUGUUGAAGCUAGCAUCGACGUAACCCUUUACGACGAGCUCUUCGGCACCUCCAUAGACGAGAAACACAUCUUUAGUCCUUUUCAGGUAGUUUAGGAUAUUAUUGACCGUUGUACAGUGAUCCACUCCUGGAUCACUCUAGUACCUCCCUACCAAACUUAUGGCAAGGUUCACAUCAGGUCUGGUGCAUAGUAUGGCAUACAUGAUAGAGCCUAUGGCUGAAUCAUAGGGGACGAUACUCAUCUUUUCUCUAUCUUCCACCGUGGUCAGUCGUUGAGUAGCACUCAACCUCACACCCUAUAAUACAGGCAAGAACCCCUUCUUAGCCUUCUCCAUAUUGAACUUCUUCAAUAUCUUUUCAGGGUAUGUGCUUUGUGAAAGACCUAUGAGGCAUCUCGAUCUAUCUCUAUAGAUCUUGAUGCGUAAUAUGUAAGCAGCUUCUCCAAGGCCCUUCAUUGAAAAACUCUUAAUUAAAUAGGCCUUGAUGUUUUCCAAUACUUUUAUAUCAUUUCCCAUCAACAAUAUGUCAUCCACAUAUGAUAUGAGAAAUGCUACAGAGCUCCCACUCACUUUCUUGUAAAUACAGGCUUCUCCAUAAGUCUAUAUAAAGCCAAACGCUUUGAUCACCUCAUCAAAGCGAAUGUUCCAACUCCGAGAUGCUUGCACCAGCCCAUAGAUGGAGCGCUCGAGCUUGCAUACCUUGUUAGCACUCCUAGGAUCGACAAAACCUUCCGGCUGUAUCAUAUACAAUUCUUCUUUAACAAAGCCGUUCAGGAAUGCUGUUUUGACAUCCAUUUUCUAGAUUUCAUAAUCAUAAAAUGUGGCAAUUGCUAACAUGAUUCGGACCGACUUCAGCAUCGCUACGGGUGAGAAGGUCUCAUCGUAGUCAAUCCCUUGAACUUGUCGAUAAUCCUUAGCGACAAGUCGAGCCUUAUAGAUGGUCACAUUACCAUCCGCGUCAAUCUUCUUCUUGAAGAUCCAUUUAUUUUCUAUGGCUCGCUAAUCAUCGGACAAGUCCACCAAAGUCCAUAUUUUGUUCUCAUACAUGGAUCCUAUCUCAGAUUUCAUGGCCUCAAGCCAUUUGUUGGAAUCUGGGCCCGCCGUCGAUUCUUCAUAGUUUGAAGGUUCACUGUUGUCUAACAACAUGAUUUCCAUGACAGGGUUGUCGUACCACUCUAGUGCGGAACGUACCCUUGUCGACCUUCGAGGUUCUAUAGCAACUUGAUCUGAAGUGUCAUGAUCAUCAUCAUUAACUUCAUCUCUAGCCGGUGCAGGUGCCUUAGAAACAUUUUCUUGCGCUACGCUACUCUCCGAUUCGAGAGGAGGUACAACUACCUCAUCAAGUUCUAUUUUCGUCCCACUUACUUCUUUCGAGAGAAACUCUUUCUCUAGAAAGGAUCCGUUCUUAGCAACAAAGAUCUUGCCUUAGGAUCUAAGAUAGAAGGUGUACCCAAUAGUUUCCUUAGGGUAUCCUAUGAAGACGCAUAUUUCCGCUUUAAGUUCGAGCUUCUCUGGUUGAAGUUUCUUCACGUAAGCAUCGCAACCCCAAACUUUAAGAAACGACAGCUUAGGUUUCUUGCCAAACCAUAAUUCAUACGGUGUCGUCUCAACGGAUUUAGACGGUGCCCUAUUUAAAGUGAAUGCGGUAGUUUCCAAUGCAUAUCCCCAAAAUGAUAGCGGUAAAUCGGUAAGAGACAUCAUAGAUCACACCAUAUCCAAUAAAGUGUGAUUACGACGUUCAGACACACUGUUACGCUGUGGUGUGCCAGGCGGCAUGAGUUGUGAAACAACUCCACAUUUCCGUAGGUGUGUGCCGAACUCAUGACUCAAAUAUUCUCCUCCACGAUCAGAUCGUAGAAACUUUAUUUUCUUGUCGCGUUGAUUCUCCAACUCACUCUGAAAUUCCUUGAACUUUUCAAAGGUUUCAAACUUGUGCUUCAUUAAGUAGACAUAUCCAUAUCUACUUAAAUCAUCAAUGAGGGUGAGAACAUAACAAUAGCCACCACGAGCUUCAACGCUCAAUGGGCCGCAUACUGCUACUGCAACAAAAGAUCUUCCAAUGGCGCCAGAAAUAGUCGUGUUGACGGCACUAGGAAUCCUUCUGCUACGGCUACGCCUUAAGGGACUUCCUAGGAAAAUAUGCAAAUGAUUUCCCCCGUGGCCUUGGAGCCUUGCGUUGGUGUUCCCUCGAAGCGGAAAGGGUGAUGUAGCGCAGCGGUGGUAAGUAUUUCCCUCAGUUUGAGAACCAAGGUAUCGAUCCAGUGAAGGAGUAUCUCAAGUGCUUGCACAAACACAAAAAGCUUGCUCCCAGCGCUAUCAAGGGGUUGUCAAUCCCUUAUAGAUUGUUCGCCAAGUGAGAACUGAAAGCAACAAAGUAACAAAGCAAAGUAAAAGCGAAAGUGGAAACGAUAGGUGUGAAUAGACCCGGGGGCUGUAGUGUUUACUAGUGGCUUCUCUCAUGAAAGCAAGUAGACGGUGGGUGAACAAAUUAAUGUCGAGCAAUUGAUAGAACCGCGCAAAGUCGUGACGUCAUCUAUGGCAAUGAUUAUAUCUAUAGGCAUCACGUCCAAAACAAGUAGAUCGAUACUUUCUGCAUCUACUACUAUUACUCCACACGUCGACCGCUAUCCAGCAUGCAUCUAGUGUAUUAAGUCCAAAAGAACAGAGUAACGCCUUAAGAAAGAUGACAUGAUGUAGAUGGACAAUCUCAUAUCUACGACAAAGCCCACCUUGUUACCCUUGAUGGCAACUAUACGAUGUGUGCCUUGCUGCCCCUACUGUCACUGGGAAAGGUCACCACACGGUAAGAACCCAAAACCAAGCACUUCUCCCAUUGCAAGAAUCAUAGAUCUAGUUGGCCAAACAAAACCCAAGACUCGGAGAGACUUACAAGGAUAUCAAAUCAUGCAUAUAAGAAAUCAGCAAAGACUCAAAUAUAUAUCAUAGAUAAUCUGAUCACAAAUCCACAAUUCAUCGGAUCUCGACAAACACACCGCCAAAGAGGAUUACAUCGGAUAAAUCUCCAUGAAGAUCAUGGAGAACUUUGUAUUGAAGAUCCAAGAGAGAGAAGAACCCAUCUAGCUACUAACUACGGACCCGUAGGUCUGAAGUGAACUACUCACGAGUCAUUGGAGGGGCGAUGAUGUUGAUGUAGAAGCCCUCCAACUCCAAAGUUCCCUCCGGCAGGGCACCAGGAAGGGUAUCCAGAUGAGAUCUCGCGGAAACGGAAGCUUGCGGCGGUGGAAAAGUAUUUUUGAGGAUCCCCUGAUUUUUUUCUGUAUUUUAGGGAAUAUAUAGGCGAAGGAUCUAGGUCAGGGGGCGUCAGGGAGGCCACAAGCCUGCCCACCGCCGCCCCCCUGGUGGCGGAUGGGGGCUUGUGGGCCCCUUGUAGCCCUCCUGGCUUGGCCCUCAAGCCCCCUGAUCUUCUUCCGUUUGGGAAAAAUCAUUUCGGAAAUUUUAUUCCGUUUGGACUCCGUUCCAAAAUCAGAUCUGAAAAGAGCCAAAAACACAUAAAAAACAGGAACUGGCACUUGGCACUGAAUUAAUAAGUUAGUCCCAAAAAAGUUAUAAAAGGUACAUAAAACAUCCAAAGAUGACAAGAUAACAGCAUGAAACCAUCAAAAAUUAUAGAUACGUUUGAGACGUAUCACAUACAUCGGUAUGUAUUAUUUCCAACAAGUUAGUUGCUCGCUCCAUUGUUCCGGAGAACAGAGUCUUCGUCAUCUUGCCCAUGAGGCACGGUUCGCAUGUGUCAAAUGAUUCAAAAUCAAGUGACUCCAAAAGUCCAUCUGUAUGGAGUUUCUUCAUGCGCUUUACACCGAUAUGACCAAGGCGGUAGUGCCACAAGUAUGUGGGACUAUCAUUAUCAACCUUGCAUCUUUUAGCACUCACGCUAUGAAUAUGUGUAACAUCACGAUCGAGAUUCAUUAGGAAUAAACCAUUAACCAGCGGGGCAUGACCAUAAAACAUACCACUCAUAUAAAUAGAGCAACCUUUAUUCUCAGAUUUAAAUGAGUAGCCAUCUUGCAUCAAGCGAGAUCCCGAUACAAUGUUCAUGCUUAAAGCUGGUACUAAAUAACAAUUAUUAAGGUUUAUAACUAAUCCCGAAGGUAGAUGUAGAGGUAGCGUGCCGACGGCGAUCACAUCGACCUUGGAACCAUUCCCGAUGCGCAUCGUCAUCUCGUCCUUAGCCAGCCUACGCUUGUUCUGUAGUUCCUGCUUAGAGUUGCAAAUGUGAGCAACAACACCGGUAUCAAAUAACCAGGAGCUACUAUGAGCGCUGGUAAGGUACACAUCAAUAACGAGUAUAUCACAUAUUCCUUUGACGUUGCCGGCCUUCUUGUCCGCUAAGUACUUGGGGCAAUUCCGCUUCCAGUGACCGGUUCCCUUGCAGUAGUAGCACUCAGUCUCAGGCUUAGAUCCUUUCUUUGACUUCUUCCCGGCAACUGGUUUACCGGGCGCGGCAACAGCUUUGUCGUCUUUCUUGAAGCUUUUCUUACCCUUGCCCUUCUUGAAACUCGUGGUCUUAUUGACCAUCAACACUUGAUGCUCUUUCUUGAUAUCUACCUCUGCAGAUUUCAGCAUUGAAUACAACUCGGGAAUAGUCUUAUCCAACCCUUGCAUGUUGUAAUUCAUCACAAAGCCUUUGUAGCUAGGUGGAAGCGACUAGAGGAUUCUGUCAAUGACCGCACCGUCUGGAAGUUCAACUCCGAGCUGAGUCAAGCGGUUGUGCAACCCAGACAUUCUGAGUAUGUGCUCACUGACAGAACUAUUUUCCUCCAUCUUACAGUUAAAGAACUUGUCGGAGACUUCAUAUCUCUCGACCCAGGCAUGAGCUUGAAAAACAAGUUGCAGCUCCUCGAACAUCUUAUAUGCUCUGUGUUGCUCAAAACGCCUUUGGAGCCCCGGUUCUAAACUAUAAAGCAUGUCGCACUGAACGAGAGAGUAGUCAUCACUCCGCGACUGCCAGGCGUUCCUAACGUCCUGGGUUGCCGCGGGAAUGGAGGAUCACCUAGCGGUGCAUCAAGGACAUAUGCCUUCUUGGAAGCCAUGAGGAUGAGCUUUAAGUUACGAGCCCGGUCCGCAUAGUUGCUCCCAACGUCUUUCAGCUUGGUUUUCUCUAGGAACGCGUUGAAGUUGAAUGGGACAUUUGCGUUGGCCAUUGGAUCUACAAUAUUUGUAAAGAUAAUUUUAGACUAAGUUCAUGAUAAUUAAGUUCAUCUAAUCAAAUUACUAAUGAACUCCCACUUAGAUCGACAUCCCUUUAGUCAUCCGAGUGUUACAUGAUCCACGUCGACUAGCCCGUGUCCGAUCAUCACGUGAGAUGGACUAGUCAUCAAUGGUGAGCAUCUCCUUGCUGAUCGUAUCAACCAUACGACUCAUGUUCAACCUUUCGGUCUCCCGUAUUCGAGGCCAUGUAUGUACAUGCUAGGCUCGUCGAGUCAACCUAAGUGUUUUGCAUGUGUAAACUGGCUUACACCCGUUGUAUGCGAACGUUAGAAUCUAUCACACCCGAUCAUCACGUGGUGCUUCGAGACAACGAACCUUCGCAACAGUGCACACUUAGGGGAAUACUUAUCUCGAAAUUUCAAUGAGGGAUCAUCUUAUAUUUGCUACCGUCGUUCUAAGCAAUAAGAUGUAAAACAUGAUAAAGAUCACAUGCAAUCAUAUAGUGACAUGAUAUGGCCAAUAUCAUCUUGCUCCUUUGAUCACCAUCUUCGGGGCACCAUGAUCAUCAUCGUCACUGGCAUGACACCAUGAUCUCCAUUAUUGUGUCUCCGUGAAGUUGUCACGCCAACUAUUACUUCUACUACUAUAGCUAACCGUUAGCGAUAAAGUAAAGUAAUCAACAUGGCGUUGCAUCUCAUACAAUAAAUUAAGACAACUCCUAUGGCUCCUGCCGGUUGUCAUACUCAUCGACAUGCAAGUCGUAAAUCAUAUUACAAGAACAUGAUCAAUCUCAUACAUCACAUAUGUAACAUCAUAUCCUUUUGGACAUAUCACAUCACAUAGCAUACCCUGCAAAAACAAGUUAGACGUCCUGUAAUUGUUGUUGCAAGUUUUAUGUGGCUGGUUUGGGUUUCUAGCAAGAAUGUUUCUCACCUAUGUGACAUCCACAACGUCGAUAUGCCAAUGCUAUUUACCCUUCAUAAGGACCCUUUUCAUCGAAUCCAAAUCGACUAAAGUGGGAGAGACAGACACCCGCUAGCCACCUUAUGCACCAAGUGCAUGUUUGUUGGUGGAACCAGUCUCACAUAAGCGUACGUGUAAAGUCGGUCUGGGCCGCUUCAUCCCACAAUACCGCCAAAAAGAUGAGACUAGUAAUGGCAAGCAAGUUGACAAAUUAGCGCCCACAACUUUUAUGUUCUACUCGUGCAUAAAAUCUACGCAUAGAACCUUGGCUCGGAUGCCACUGUUGGGUAUCGUAGUAAAUUCAAAAAAAAUCCUACGCCAUACAAGGAUCUAUCUAUGGAGAAACCAGCAACCGAGAGAGGUUGUAGGGCAUCUUCAUACCUUUGAAGAUCGCUAAGCGGAAGCAUUACUAUGAACGCGGUUGAUGGAGUCGUACUCGCAGCGAUUCAGAUCGCGGUGGAUUCCGAUAUAUGUGCCGAACUACGGUACCUCCGCGUCCAACACACGUACAGCCCGGUGACGUCUCGUACGCCUUGAUCCAACAAGGAGGAGGGAGAGGUUGAGGGAGAGCUCCGGCAGCACGACGGCGUGGCGGCAGUGGAGCUGCCAGGUUCUCCGGCAGAGUUUCGCCAAGCUAUGCGGAGGACGAGGAGAGAGAGGUGUAGGGCUGCCCCAGGAGGGGAAGAAAUUGUGUCUACAAAAGCAAAAAACCACCACUAUAUAUAGGGGGAGAGGGAGGAGGUGCCAACCCUUAGGGUUCCCACCCCUAAGGGGUGCGACAGACCCAUCUGGGGCAGAGGGCGGCGGCCAGGGCAGGGAGAGGAGGGGUGGUGCACCCAGAUGGGCCUUGGGCCCCUCCUGCACCUUGGGCCUAGGUAGGAGGCGCACCAGCCCACUCCGGGUUGGUUUCCUUCCACCUUUUGGCCCAUGCUAGCCUUUGGGGCUGGUGGCCCCUCCCGGUGGACCCCCGGAACCCUUUUGAUGGUCCCGAUAUGUUACCGGUGACGCCCGAAACAUUUCCGGUGUCCAAAACCUCUCAUCCUAUAUAUCAAUCCUUACCUCCGGACCAUUCCGGAGCUCCUCGUGACGUCGGAGAUCUCAUUCAGGACUCUGGACAACCUUCGGUAACCACGCACACUAUUUCCCUAUAACCCUGGCGUCAUCGAACCUUAAGUGUGUAGACCCUACGGGUUCGGGAGACAUGCAGACAUGACCGAGACAUCUCUCCGGCCAAUAACCAACAUCGGGGGUCUGGAUAUCCAUGUUGGUUCCCACAUGUUCCACGAUGAUCUCAUCGGAUGAACCACGAUUUCAAGGAUUCAAUCAAUCCCGUAUGCAAUUCCCUUUGUCUAUCGGUAUGAUACUUGCCCGAGAUUUGAUCGUCGGUAUCCCUAUACCUUGUUCAAUCUCGUUACCGGAAAGUCUCUUUACUCGUUCUGUAACACAUCAUUUCGUGGCUAACCCCUCAGUCACACUGAGCUUAAUAUGAUGAUGGAUUAUCGAGUGGGCCCAGAGAUACUCUUCCGUCACACGGAGUGACAAAUCCCAGUCUUGAUUCGUACAACUCAACAAACACUUUUGGAGAUACCCGUAGUGCACCUUUAUAAUCACCCAGUUACGAUGUGACAUUUGGUACACACAAAGCACUUCUACGGUAUCCGGGAGUUGCACAAUCUCACGGUCUAAGGAAAUGAUACUUGACAUUAGAAAAGCUUUAGCAGACGAACAACAUGAUCUAGUGCUAUGCUUAGGAUUGGGUCUUGUCCAUCACAUCAUUCCCCAAUAAUGUGAUCCCGUUAUCAAUGACAUCCAAUGUACAUGAUCAAGAAACCAUGAUCAUCUAUUGAUCAACGAGCUAGCCAACUAGAGGCUCACUAGGGACACAUUGUGAUCUAUAUAUACACACAUGUAUUACGGUUGCUGGUUGAUACAAUUAUAGCAUGAAUAAUAGACAAUUAUCAUGAACUGCUAAUAUAAUAAUAACUACUUUAUUAUUGCCUCUAGGGCAUAUUUCCAACAAUAUUAACUAGGGCAAACUCAAUAUAUGGCAUAAUAGUUGCGUGGGUCAGAAGACACAUUUCAUUAUCGAUAUAUCCCCCACUAUCGGAAAAUCAGUAUGAGCAAGAUCUCUCUAACCUUAGAAGGCGGGGAGGGGUUUGAAACUCUACUUGCCCUAGCCUUCUAUAUUGCAUCUUUUGUAAGUGAUACAAAACAAAUCAUUAAUGAUGGUACACCCGAUAGUUGGCCUAAGUAUUAUUCACAUCGGAGAAAACAUUCUUUAUCAAUACAAUUGUAAUUUCCUAAAUACCAAUACAAGUAACAUAUCUACUAACCUUGGUAGGGGUUAUACAUAUAUACUUACCCUAGCUUCUUGUCUUGACGCCAUAUCCCGAGAAGGAUAUGGAGAAGUAAUGAUGGCAUAUUCAAUUGAUGGUCUAAUUAUUGCUUGCCAUAAAGGAAACGUGAAUCGACAUAAUAAGGACCUUCAUGGGAAAUAGGAUGAUUUUUUACCUUGCGUGUGUCUCGAAAGCCUGAGUUUCUAGAAGACGAGACACAAUACUCAUGUAUAAUAGCCAAAAGAGAUGUGUUGUUUGCUCCUACUUUUCCAUUCUUCUAUAUAAAUCGUGGUGCAGGGUGAGUGUGAAGCCUCUCGAUCCUUCAUGCGCCCGCCUCUCGCCCCAAAUUUGAUGGCAUGUUAGCGUUUUCCUCCUUCCCUUGUAUCGGCUUUGCGAGUUGGCAUGACUAUUGUUUUAUACUCCAUCCAUUUCCUUUCUAACAAAGCCCAUGAGGCAAGGGAGGAGGUACAAACCUUGUAUUAUUGCAAACCCUAACUUUCCCGAUGUGGCCAACACAACCCCAAUUUUCAUAAACCUUAAGCUUCCCGAUGUGGACUUCGUCAAAGAUGAUGACAAGAUGUUAACUACGGUAAACUUGAGAGAUGCCUGAUUAUUGUGUACUUUAGAGAUGCAUUCAUUGCCAAUAUAUACACUGCUAUCAGACAACCAAUGUGAGUGACAUCUAUCUAAACCUACAAGAUAGGGAGGGCGUGGAACUUUAAUUACACUAGCCUCCUAUGUAGCAUCCUUCACAAGAGAUAACAAGAGAGCAUUAAUGAUGAUAGACCCGAUAGAUUGCCUAACUAUUAUGCAUGUUAGACUACGCAUUCAUUACCGAUGCAACUACCACCUCCUACCCACCAAUACAAGUAACAUCUAUCCCUCUAACCUAGGGAUGAGUAUGAGCUCUCUACUUACCCUAGCCUCCUUGAUAGGCCUCCAACGUAUAUAUAUUUUUAUUGUUCCAUGCUAUAAUAUUAUCAUUCUAGGAUACUUUUGGGGCAUUUAUUUGAUGAUUCAUAUUAUUUUUUAGCACUAACCUGUUAACUUAGUGCUAAGUGUCACUUGCUGUUUUUCUGCAUGUUUUUGGCUUUUCAGGUCUACAGUACCAAACAGAGUCCAAAUACCACGGAACUUUUUGAUGAUUUUUUCUGGACCAAAAGUAGACGUGGAAGCUUCGGGAGAAGACUGAAGGCCACACGAGGGCCCCACAAGCCAACAUGGCGUGUUUGGGGGUGGUCGUGUCGUGUUAGCUUGUGGGCCCCCCUUGACUCUCCUCACAUCGUUCUCUUGCUUAUAAAUUCUCAUAUAUUCCAAAACCCUAGAGGAGCUCCUGAAACACUUUUUACGCUACCGCAAGUCUUUGUUCCGUCAUGUGCCCAUCUGGAGCCGUGUUCCGGUUCCCUGUCGGAGGGGGGAUCGAUCACAAAGGGCCUCUACAUCAACCCUGUUGCUCCCAUGGUGAUGUGGGAGUAGUUCACCACAGACCUACGGGUCCAUAACUAGUAUAUAGAUGUCUCUCCCUCUAUGUUAUUCAGUACACAGUUCAUCGCAUCAUCGCGAUGAUCUAUUCGAUAUAAUCACUUUGUGUGGUGCGUUUAUUGGGAUCCGAUGAAUUGUUGGUUUAUGUUCAGAUUAUUCAUGAAAAUAUUUGAGUCUUCUUUGAAUUAUUAUUUGAUUCUUAUUUGUAUGAUUAUAUAGCUUCAUAAAUCUCUCUAAUCUACUCAUUUGGUUUGGCCAACUAGAUUGAUCUAUCUUCACUAAGAGGGGUGCAUUGUAGUAGGUUCAAUCUUGCGGUUCUCAAUCCGAGUGACAGAAAGGGACAUGACACAUAUUUGUAUUGCUCCCACUAAGGAUAAAACGAUGGUGUUGAUUCAUAUUAAUUAUAUUUUCUUUGUCAACAUCAUGUCAUUGUUCUCCAAGUAUUAAUCUAUUCUACUUAAUACUCUAGAUGCAUGUUGGAUAGCGGUUGAUGUGUGGAGUAAUAGUAGUAGAUGCAGGCAGGAGUCAGUCUACUUGCUUAUGGACGUGAUGCCUAUAUACACGUGAUCAUUGCCGUGAAUAAGUGUUGCAUAACUAUGCGAUUUUCUAUCAAUUGCCAACAAUAAUUUAUUUACCCACCCUAUGCCUUCUUCGAGACAGUUGACACUAGAGAACACUGUAGCCCUCGGGUCUAUUCACAUGUAAAUUUACAAACGCUACUAUUUCCUCACCGCCUUUAGUUACUUUUUAUUUAUUUAGCAAUUUUUAUUUAUCCAACUAUCAUCUACACUACUUAUUUGCUUGGAAGUAACAAGUUCAAGUGGAUUGACAACCCUCUUGCCCGCAUUGGGUGCAAGUGUUUGCUCUUUUGUGUGUACGUGCUGAAGACGGGAGUUGUGCGAUCAUCCUAUUGGUUCUAUAAGCCUGGUUCUCACCGAGGAAAAUACUUAUCUAUACUGUGUUGCAUCAUCCCCUCCUCUUCGUGGGAAAACCCAACAUAGUUUACACGUAUCUCUCCUUUAUUGAUGCCUUCACUCAGAAAAAGAUGGAGCAUAACGGGGGUAGACUCGACCGAUGGUCUAAUUAUUGUGUGCGUUAAAGGAAACAUGAAUUGAGAUAAAGCACCUUCAUGGGAAAUAAUUUUUUCUUUACCUUGGGUGUGUGUCAAAAUCCCGAGUCACUAGAAGACGGGAUACAAUAUUUGUGUCUCAUAGCCAAAAGAGAUGUGUUCAUCGCUCCUACUCGUUUGUCAUUUUAUAGGAAACCAAGGCAUGCACUAAAUGUGAAAACUCUCUACCCCACCCACACUUUCCUCUCACUCAAAUGUGAUUAUUCAAAUGACGUGUUCACAUUUUCGUCCUUCUUGUGUAUUGGCUCUACCACUUGGCACAUCUAUUGUCUUCCUACUUCGUCCAUGCCAUUCCAACCAAGCCGAGGAGGCAAAGGAGGGGUAUUGACCCUCUAUUUUCACAAACCCUAACCUUCUCGAUGUGGCCAACACAACCCCUAUUUUUCGCAAACCCUAACCUUCAUGGUGUGGUCUCCGUUAAAUACAAAAAGAGUGGAUGUUAACUAAGGCAAACUCAAUAGAUAGCCUAGUUGUUGUGUGCUUUAGAAGACACAUUCAAUGUCGAUAUAUCCGCCACUAUCGGCUAUCAUACAAGCAAUGUGGGCAAAAUCUCUCUAAAUCCACGAGGUAGGGAGGGGCGUGAAACUCAACUUAUCUUAGCCUCCUUAGCUACAUACUUGAUAAGAGAUAAAUAUAUUAUGCACGUCAGAGGAAACAUUUAGUGUAAAUGCAACUACAAAUUCCUAACUACCAAUACAAGUAACAUCCUCUAAAUACGGGGAGAGGUUUGAACUCUAUACUUAUCCUAGCCUCCUAGAAUGGAUUGAUGGUCUAAUUAUUGAGUUUGUUAAAGGAAACAUGAAGUGAGAUAGAUCACCUUCACGAUAAAGAGGAUGCUCUUUUAACUUGGGUAUGCAUCGAAACCUCAAGUUACUAGAAAACAAUACACACCACUCAUGUUUAACUGACAAAGAAAUGUGUUGAUCACUCAUACAUGUUUGUUCUUCUGAAGAGAAUCGAGGUAUAUAGUGAGUGUGAAUCUUGUCCACCCCACCGACACCCUCUUCUCCUAAAUUUAGUCAAUUAGAUGGCAUGUUAGCAUUUUUCUUCGUCCUAUGUAUCGUCUCUGCCAGUUGGCAUGACUAUUUGUCUUCCUACUCCAAUCAUGUCCUUAAAAGUUACCACCAAGCUCAUGAGGCAAAGAAGGGGAUUGGACCCUCUAUUUUCACAAACCCUAAGCUUCUCGGUGUGUCCUUCAACACAUCCCCUAUUCCCCCAAACCCCAACCUUCUGAAGGUGGCCUCGUCGGAGAUGAUGAAGGACAUUAACUAGGACAAACUCGACAACGAACCUAAUGGUUACAAACUCGACAAGUAACACCCCUAAACUUAUGAGGCAGUCAGUGUGUGUGUGCUCUAUACGUACCCCAGCCUUCUCUAUUGUUGCCUUCACAAGAGACAAAGUGUGAGCAUUAAUUAUGGAAAACUAGAUUGCCGGUCUUAUUGUUGUUUGUGUUGAAGGUAUCGUAAAUUGAGAUAAAACACAUUUACGGUAAAGAGUCUCCUUACCUUGGGUAUGCAUCUAAAGCUCAAGCUGCUUGAAGUCAAGACACAAUAUUAUUGCCUGAUAGACAAAACAUGUGUGGAUUUCUCCUACUUGACUAUUCUUCUGCGAAAAAAUGAGCUACAUAAUGAAUGUGAACUCUCUACCUCCGCCAACGCCUAGUUGUCACCCCCAAUAUGGUUAUUUGAAUGCCAGGUUAACAUUUCCCCUCCUUCUAUAUAUUAGCUCGCCACUUCUAUCGAUAACCAAAGUCUAGGACGCAAAAGAGGGUGUGUGGACUUUCUAUUUCCGCAAACUCUAAGCUCCACGAUGUGGUCUCCUUUAGAGGUGAAGAGGGAAUGCUAACUGACGAAAGCUCGAUAGAUGGCAUAAUUAUUGUGUGCUUCAUCAAAUGACACGCUCAUUUUCAUUAGAUCCUCAAAUAUCCUAAAACUAAUAUGAGCAACACGUUCAUUUUCAAUACAUCCGCAAAUACCAAACCACUAACAUGAGCAACGUCUGUGUAAGCCUACAUGGCACGAAUGAGGUGUGAACUCUCCACUUACCCUAACAUGUUCUGUUUUAUCCUUCACUAUAUGUAAAGGGGAGCAUUAAUUAUGGCAGUAGACCUGAUAGAUGGCCUAAUUAUUAUGCACAUCAUAAAGAACAUACAUUGUUAGUACACAUUGUCAUAUCCGACCGCUAAUACAAGGAGUACCUCUCUAAACCUCUCAUAGGCGGGGAGCGGGUGUGAUCCCUAUGCUUACCCUAGACUCUUUACAUCUACCUUUGCAAGAGAUGAGGAGGAAGCAUUAAGGACGGCAUACUAGACUCUUAGCCUAAAUAUUAUGUGCGUUAAAGGAAAUGUGAAUUGCAAUUAAGCACCUUCAUGGGAAAAAUGAUGAUCUCUACCAUAGGUGUGUCAAAAACUUGACUUGCUAAAAGACGAGAAACAACAUCUCUUAUCUCUUAUCUCUUAUUUACUAAUUGUAGGCACCAUACGAGACACCACAUUAAUUUCAAAGAAACAACAAUAAUAACCGUAGGAUUGUUGAAUAUACGAUUAGGAUUAAAAAAAUCUAGACAUUCCAUAUAAGAGUCCUAUGAGGUAACGAUGUAGGAACGUGUCCAUACAUGAGUCAAAAGAAAAAAAAACAAAUCUGUCAUAGACACGUCACGGCCAGCCACCAUGGAAAGGCAAUAAAAAAAGAACCCCUAUGCCAACACGUUUUCAUGGAUGGAUCAGACUAGCCCGGUUGUGCUACUUAUUUUUAAAUGUGCCUAAUAUAUUAUAUAUGGUAACAAGAUUUACGAUACGUCUCAAGGGAAUCUGCAUGCGUAUAUGUAACUAAUACAGUCUUAAUACAAGAUGCAUUUGUAAAAGUGAUAUGUCAUACAUAAGAGUUUUUAUUCACAAACAAUAGAGUUAUUUACUCUCUUUAGGAUAUAAUACAGUGCAUAGUUUUUUUUAACUAUUUUCUGUUGUCUCCCUCGGUUGCCAUCUCCAUCUUACCUGGAUGCGGUGAGGUUGUGUAAUAGUUUGUAGUUGUAGCCAAAAAGCCGAAAGAUAAACAUUGAAGUUAUGCAUAGUUCUGCAAGCUACUUCAAUGCUUCUAUUUUUAGAUAUAUCGUUAUAGUUCCUUUCAUUAGCACAAAAAAAGCUUCACGAUAUAUAUUUCCCAAAUUCAUUCGGUAUAAACUAUAAGAUUCAUGAUUUAAUGCAGAACACAAUUUGAGAUAAGCGUUGCAUAAUAUGUAAAAUAUAUUUUUAAGUAUGUAAUUUUCAGACUAAAUUUUUACUAUUUUUAAUUAUGACCUAUGUAAUGCAAAAUAUAUUUUCUAUCUAGCUUCAAUAAUGGCCUAUAGAAACCCUUUGUAUUGAUUUUCUCAAAUAGCAUAUAUAAAUCACAUUGUAUUCUUAACUGCUACUGCAUUAGAAUAUUUUAAAUCGUUAUUUCUCAGGGACUGGGCAAAUAUUAUUUCUAAGUCGACCAAGUUGCAAGAUAAAAAAGAGUAAGACAUAGUGAGAAAUAUUAGGUAGGCAAAUGUGUGACAUCCAUUUGCACGUCUCAAAGACUAAAAUCCACACAAUUUUAAUGUCUUUAACUAUCUAAUUCUUCAUCAAAAGAAACAACUCCUCUCAUCAUUUACUAAUGGAUAAGAACUUCUACAUUCCUUAAAGAAUGUACACUCGCAACCAUUUAUAAUACUUCAUGCCCACAGAUAAGAGCAACAACUUAAACUAUUCUAUAAGGGAUUUACUAUAUUUUUUAACUAUUGCUCAACAAAACCAAUCCCAAUCAUCUAAAAUUGAUAAAGAUAUUCGAGACAAAAUUUCAAAUGUGCAAAAAUGUGUCAUUUACGAAAAAAUAAUUUAUUCGUAUAUUUCUAUUUUUUCAGUAAAGUAUCAUGUUUGCCAAUAAUUUUUCCAAUUAGAUUGCUUUUAAUAUUUUCCGAAUUACUACCAUAAAUUAGGCAUUAAUUUUCCAUUUUGUACUCAAAAUACAUCAAAUUUAUACGUUGCCACAAAGUAUGGUUAUACAUCGAUUGAAAGGCUAAACAAUAUGACCAUGAUAUCUAAAAGUACGCUUAUAAUUAGAAAUUAAAAAAGAUACUUGAUGUUUAUUCUUUUUGCAAAGUAUAUUAAAAAACCAAGUUUUUGGACUCAAGUCGCUAGCCUGUGCAGCUGCACGGGUUGAUGACUAGUUAUUCUCUAAUCUCUAAUAGCCAAAAGGGGCGUGUGCAUUGCUCCUACUUUAUGAAUUAUACUAGUGGCAUGCUUUUAGAAUUGAUGUGUGAAUAUAUUUGAGAUACCAAAUCAUGUAGAUAGAUGUAAAUAAAUAUGAAAACCUAGUAGAUAGAUACACAUCUGAUAAAUAAAAAUCCCAUUUAUUGUUCCUCUUGCUCAACCUCGCACAUCCAAGAAAAGUCUUAUCACACUUCAUUGUUAUUUUAUUUUGUUGACAUGUCCUUUGAUGGACUCUUGCAUCCUUACCCACAAACCACCUAAUUUUAGACCACCACCAUUAACAACCAAUUGUCUAUAUCCAAGAGGCAAAUGAGGGGUGUGUGUAGGUCUUUAUUUCCGCAAAACCCUAAUUUUUUUUGCAUGCGGGUUCCCCAAAAAACGAAGAGAUGACGUUAACAAUGUUAUGCUUCAUAGUAUGAUUACCGCUCAUGAACGAAAACAAUAUACUAAAAGAAGAUGACACAAAAGAGGGAACAUUUUGUCUAUCUAAGUCGAGGGGUAAAGGAGGGGGUGAAGUCUUUACAUCCUUAGAACUCUAUCCUUUGUCGUUUCCGCGUUUCUACAAAGAUGAAAAUAGAGAGUGUUGAGAACAUAACACUUGAUAGCCUCAUUGUGCAUGAAUAGAUACAUUUUUUUGCGGGUAGCAUGAAUAGAUAUAUUAUAUACAAACAACCCGAGAUAACACAAUGAAGGAAGAUGGUCUUUUUCUUGGGGAUGCAUUGACAUGGAAAGUUGUUGGAUGACAUACACAUGAAUUUUCCAUUUCUUACAAGAAAAAUGAUGUGUAGAUUGUUUGUCUUUGCUGCAUUCUAAAGUUCUGGGAUUCUAGUAUCCCUGACUUUCUUUUUUCUCAAUUUGUAAACAAUAUGUCUAUCACAUGGGAAUAAAGUUGAUUAUUAUGUUAAAAAAGAGAGUCUAGGAGAGUGUUUAUCGAAACAUUUAAAAAAGGUGCGAGAAAGAAAACCCUGUAGAUAACUACAAUAAAUGGAUUACAAAGAUAGUAUACAUCUUAGAGCAUCUUAAACAACCACGUAACCGUUGUGCAUGCUAAAAACAUUUUGCAGCAUCGAAAUAUCGAAUUUUAACGCGUUGGAGAGCAUUGGCUUCAGCGGCCGUCACAAAAAAUUGCGCGCGCGAACCGCUCCAACAGACGCUGCAAAACAAAUGGCUUGUGCGCCCAACACAAACAACAUAUGCACUCCAAACAAAACCAAAAAAAUCAAACACAUAAAAAAUAAUUAACAAGAAAUAGUUCAAUUAUUGAUAAAAUAGUUUAUCUUUCAAUACAAUAAUAGUUCGACGCUACAACAUCGAACAUACAAAUCAUCAUUCAUUUCGUCGGCCAUUCCAUGUCCACCACUCCUCGAUUAGAUCCUUUUGAAGAUUAUUAUGCAUUUGGGAAUGUCGAAUGGUAUGAUAGAAGACAACAAAUCGAACCACCCUAGUAGCACUUCGACGCACUAGCACGGGAUGUCCCAAGAGCUCAUACUGAGAAUAGUCUAAAUUUUGGCCACACUCAUUCUCGAUGAUCAUGCUAUGCAUGACAACACAAGCGUGCAUGAUGUACCAAAGAAUCUUUUGAUCCCAAAAUCUAGCCAGUCCUCUCAUAAUAGAAAAUUAGACUUGCAAAAAUCCAAAAGCUCUCUCCACAUCUUUCCGAGCCGUCGCGGGGGCAUUGUGAAAAUCUAGAUUUUUCUUACCUUCUGUUUUUUUCAACGGUUUCACAAAUGUUUGCCAUUUUGGAUAGAUAACAUCCGCAAGAUAGUAGCCAUAGUUGUAUGUAUUGCCAUUUGCUACAAACUCCACCGAUGAUAGUUCACCAUUUGCAAUCUUAUUUAUGAGUGGUGUCCGAUUAACAACGUUGAUGUCAUUCAAAGAUCCAUGCAUUCCAAAAAAAGCAUGUCAAAUCCAAGUCUAUUGACCGGCCAUCGUUUUAAGGAUUAUAGUGGAAUCCCUUUUUUGGCUGUGGAAUUGCCCAUGCCAUGCCUUAGGACAGUUUUUCCAACUCCAACGCAUGCAAUCUAUUGAGCCAAGCAUACCUGGAAACCCGCAACCUUGGUUCAUCUCUAAUAGCCUUGCGACGUCGUCAGCAUUGGGGGAUCUCAAAUACUCUGGACCAAACACUUGUACAAUUCCGACCGCGAAGCGCUUGACACACAUGAUGGCCUCACUUUCACCCAUGGCCAAAUAGUCAUCAACUAGAUCAGCCGGAAUACCGUAUGACAACAUAAGCAAAGUUGUUGUCACCUUUUGAAAGGUGUUAUGUUCGAGUUCUCCGACGGCAUUCCUCCUUUGCUGAAAAAACCAAUCAUGGCUCACCAGUUUCUCUGCAAUGCGCAUGAACAACUCGAUGCUCAUCCUAAACCGACGCCUGAAGUACGACUCGGGAUAUGUGAGAUUCUCCACAAAAUAGUGCCUCAUCAAUCUGUUGUCGGCAUUAAUUGUAUCCCUCCAAAUUUUCCGCCGACCCAUAACCGAACAACCGUGUUUCGGCUUUUUGUUGAUGUGCAUAGCUAGGAUCAUUGCUAGGUUCUCCUCCUCUUGAAUAUUAAAUUUUUCUUCGAAAGAAUUAUAUGACGAACUCAUCUAUAAUAUUGAACUUAAAUUAGUCUAAAAACUAAAAAAUACAAGCACCAAAUUCAUGUAAAAAAGGUGAAGUUGAAGCAAUACAACCUUGCAAGCGUUUUAUCGAACACCUUGUGGGCGCCGAGCGACAGUGGGCGACCGGACGCUCUUCGUCGGAGGAACGACGCGUGCGAGGGGCGGCAGCGGGUAGAGGGAGAUGGAGGAACCAGCGACAUCGCGGGGAUAGGCCGGGGUAGCGCCGUCGGGUCGCCGGAGCAAAUGGGGUGGCGCGGACGGCGGUGUCACAACAUGGACCUAGUGGUGGGUGGAAGCCGCGUGUGAGUCGUCGUUGUCCAGCGCGCGGAAGCGGACGCUUCAAAUAAACGACGCGCGAUGCCAUUUCGUCCCGCGCGCUGAACCAUUUAUGACGCGCGCAUAUUUUUUACGUCUCCGCUGGAGCGACCGGAGCGGCUGUGCGCGUGCAAAAGAGCGUCUUUUUUCAAAACGGCGCUUAUAUAACGCGGCUUUUGGAGAUGCUUCAAUUUAUUCAUCGGGCCCUCGCUCGAUCCGGGCCGUCCAAGCACCUACAAACCUGAUAAUUCUUCGCCCCAUCCCACCCAUUCGCUGGCUCCCCCUUCAGUUUCAGCUCGCCUCUCGCCUCUCGCCGUCUUCGCGCAUCCCAGGUACGCCGCCCGCGGCCCGUCUCGCCCGGCCAGCAAUCUAGGGUUUCCUCCGCCGCACGAAUUCGUUCCUGAUUCCCCUAGGACGUGCCACAAUUGAAUCCCCUGUUUCGUUCUGCCCUUCCUUCCAGAUGUCUCGUCGAUUUUGAUGGGCGCGGCGCUGUUUUUGCGGUGAUUUUGUCGUUGUUUGUUCCCCCGACCCGCCCCGUGGAGCGGCCAUGGUGAAGACCCCCACUAGCACCCCCAAGGCCAAGGCCAAGGCCAAGGCGGCCUCUUCCGGCAGUGCUGCCCGGCCGUCCCCGGCGGGCGCUUCCGGCUCUGGCUCGGCGAAGGCGUCGAAGUUUAAGAAACGGAAAGCCGUUGGCACCGGUGCGAAGGUCGCGGCCACUGCUGCGGCAGCGGCCGAUGGGGCGGCCUCCGCGGUCGCUGCCGGCAGGGACGACCCUGCCCCUGCAUCUGCGCCGAAACGGUCCACCCCUUCUGGAGGGUCGCCUGCGGCAUCUUUGAAGCCAGCCACCGUGGCUGAAGGAUCGUCUGCUGCCCAGGUACCGGCACCAAAGCCAGACACCGCUGAAGAAGCAUCAGCGUCGACUCCAAAACCGAAGCCAAAGCCAAAGCCAAAGCCAAAGCCGGCUGAUGCUGCAGCUGCCACCAGCAAUGGGGCGGGUGCUAGCGGUAGUGGUGGUAGCAAGAAGAAGAACAAGAAGGGGCAUAAGGAGAGGCUUAUGGCUUGGAAGGGAAAGGGGAAGCAGGAGGAGGCACAGGGGAAUAAGAAGGGGACGGUGAAGGAGGAGGGAGCCAAGAAAGAAGGGGGUGGUGGUGAUAGCAGGGGAGGAGGGCUUAUCUUCAUGUGCAAUGCACAGACUAAGCCGGAGUGCUUCAAGAACCGCGUGUUUGGCAUGCCCAUGGGGAAGAAGGAGAUGGUGGAGAAGGUCCGACCAGGGACAAAGGUAUUCCUGUAUGAUUUCGACUUGAGGCUGCUAUAUGGGGUGUACAAGGCGACAUCAAAGGGCGGGAUAAACCUUGUCAGAAAUGUAUUUAACGGGAAGUUUCCUGCUCAGGUAAUCUUGACUUUCCAUUAUUUAGAUCCAUAUAUGGUAGUAGAGUGAGCUGUUUUGCGUUUUAUGGGUGUAUGCAUUGUUCCUAAGGAUGUGUGUGGCUCAGUUGCUCCGAUAAGUUUGGAACACAAAUGAAUAUGUUAGACAUGACACAUGAGUAGAAAUCUUGCUAGGUCACACUAUUUCUGAGAAAGAUAAGCUCUAUUUUAGGUCCAAACAGGGCCAUGGAUUACAGUAAUUAGCAAUAAUCUUACAUUCUAACUUUGAUUGCGUAGUUGUUUGUAAGCUUUCACAAACAUCAGCAAUGAGGAUAUAUGCCCUUGUUUGCCAUCCCUAAAAAUGUGUUAGUAGAAUAGACUGGUGACACUUCUUUCUUGGAUAGUAUGUGCAUGUGUCCAUAUAUGUGCAUAGGGUUCCUUAGUUUUGUAUCUUUUGCCCAAGUUAUUAUGGAAGAUGUAGCUAGGCGGAUCAUGAUUUUAGCUGGCCAUCAUCAAAUAAUAGUUCCGUCUUCUAAUUAUAAUUGCAAUGCAUCCCUAUAGCAUAUAAAAAUGGCUGACUUAAAUGCCUUGACCAGUUAUUCUAUGUUUUCUCAUUCUUGGUGAGAACUAUAUGCCAUUGUUUCUAAGCCCUAAAAAAGUAUUAGUAGAAUAGACUAGUGCCCCUGUUGGACAGUAUGUACAUGUGUCCAUAUAUGUGCACAUGGUUCCUUAGUUUUGUAUCUUCUACCCAAGUUACUAUGGAAGACUUAGAUAGUCGGAUCAUGAUUUUAGCUGGCCAUCAUCAAAUAACAGUUUUGUCUUCUAAUUAUAAUUGUGAUGCAGCCCUAUAGCAUAUAAAAAUGUCUGACUUAAAUGCCUUGACCAGUUAUUCUAUGUUUUUUCGUUCUUUUUCGAGAAAACGCAAAAGAGUUUGUGUUUCAUUUCAUUGAACAGGGAGAGAACAGCAGUACAGGUACAACCUCCCAGGAGGAGGGACACACGCACACACAUCAUCGUCCUCACCAAACGAGCGGGUGAGGAGGUGCUACCAACUACAGACCGCAAUGACAAAAGUUCUUGCCUUGUCCAGCCUCCAAACAUGAAUGGCGAGGUAGCUAGACUCAGAGCCUCAAGGCCGCGUCACAGCCGUUGCCAGGCGCCUCCGAAUAAGACUGCAUCUCCAGGGCUGCCCGGGCCAACGUAUCUUCCACUCAUAUGUGCCUAGGAGACGGCAGGUGGAUGGCAGGACCCAACCAGAACUAGCGAAGCCAUCGUCUUGGACAUGCCGGCACCGGCGUACAUUGCGCCCUGGGCGCCCACGCUCUAUGCUGCAGCCCUCAUCACAGCAUCGCAGUACCAGCAAGCCUCGCCGGAAAGACCGGGGAGGCCACCAUCUCCAGCUGCAGCGUCGGGGACUCCAAAUGCGACCCAAGCAGCGCCUUCAAGAAGGGAACGGCGCUGAGACGCCGCCACUGCCUUGUCCAGUGAAGGACCAAGGGUUUCCCCCGGUGCUCGAGGAGAGGAUCCAGUCCGGGCCAUGACAGCGCCAACAUGGAGGUAACGGCACCCUCAGGCGUCGCCGUUGUCAGCGCAGCCAUCGCCGCACAGGGAUUUUGCCCCGGCCCAAGACCAGAAUCCCAAAUACCUCUGAAGCAGAGCAGACAGGAGACGGGGGAGCAGAUCGCCGGAGAAGACCACCAGCACCUAGAGGGAAACCACGUAUCAUCACCGUCGAUGUAGGGAAGCACCGGCCAGCGCAGUGCAGUAGUCGCCGGAUGGCUGCCACACAAGGCCAGACACCGCAGGGGGGGGGUACGUCGAGCAGGGCUAGUGGCGCAGUCGAGGGACCUGUCACAUGCACCAUGGCGCUGCCGACCAUGGCCGCCGCCGUGCUGGCCCACAACCUCCGCCACCCGGAUCCGCCGAGGCACAGCCAAGAAGCCGCAGCCGUGCCCCCAAAGGCUCGCGCUACGCCGCCCGCGUGCUCGCCAUGCCAGAUCCAGAGGUCUGACCUUCUGGAUCUGGGGCCGCCGUCACGAAACCCUAGGCCCGGAGAAGCACAACUCCGUCAGCCUCGUCGAGCCCCACGCUCGAGGGGGAAGGCCGCCUGGGAGCGAAGUCCGGCCGCUGCCGGAUACGCCAGGGCUUUGCCCAGCGUGGAGCACCGGCGGCGGCAGGGGAAGGGGGAGGAGGAGGGGAGCGAGGGCUCGAGGGCUGCGUCGCCUCCCAGGUCGCCCCUAGGGAGGGCGACGCGGGAGGGAGGGGGGGCAUGUUCUCGUUCUUGAUGAGAACCAUAUGCCAUUGUUUGUAAGCCCUAGAAAAGUAUUAGUAGAAUAGAGUAGUGACCCUGUUGGACAGUAUGUGCAUGUGUCCAUAUAUGUGUAUAGGGUUCCUUAGUUUCGGAUCUCUACCCAAGUUAUCAUGGAAGAUGUAGCUAGGCGGGUCAUGAUUUUAGCUGACCAUCAUCGAAUCGUAGUUCUGUUCUCCAAUUAUAAUUGCGAUGUAUUCCUACAUAGCAUAUAAAAAUGACCAACUUAAUGUCUCAACCAGUUAUUCUAUGUUUUCUUUACUUGCCGAGAACUAAAUAGUCUUCCAUGUCUCCAAUAUUAAGCACCAAUGAGUUUCCUUCCCUUUUGGUGCUUGAUUUUUCUUGUGUAGUAGACUUCAUAACUAUUGCAAAACACAAGAAACAUAAAAUAAAAUAAAAACAAUUGCCAAUGAAGUUGCUAAAGCGUGGAUUCUUCAUGGUAAAUCAAGUUUUGCAGCUAUCAAAUUAUGUACCAAAUAUGAGAUAUGUGGUAAAACCUAUGCACUAGUUUUCUCAUGUCAAAUGGUUCUUGAUGAUAUUUAGUCGAUAUUGUUGAGGUUCUUUCUGUGAGUAGUAGAGUGUACAAGUAGUGUAAAUUUAUGUGUCAGACCAGCACUAGGUCUAGUUAGACGUGAUCACGUGGAUCAUUUUUUUGGGUGGUAGUAUGCUGACUCUUUACAUUAGUUAUUGGCUGAGAACUUGAAAUAUGGAUGGGUUAGAUGUAGAGAGACCUAAAGAUGCAACGUAUGAAAAAUCUAAAUAACUCCUCGUAUGAAGAAAUCAUUUAUGAGGAGUAUACCCUGACAUUGGCCCAAUCUAACCACUCCA
rnacentral:lncRNA from 1 species